AUUGUCCAAAUAAAAUAAAAUACAACAAACCCAAAAUUCAAUCCCAACUACCCAAACCUUAAGCCCAAAAUAAUCAGCCCACAAACUUAAAAUUUUAGCAGCAAACCCUAGCUGGCCGCCGCAUGCCUUACGUGGCCUCCUCAGCCUUGGCCACCACGCCCCACGCGUCUGACACUCCCACCUGCUCCACCAUGCCCACCACCUGCAACAAGAACAAACACAACAGCAAAGAAAGCAUGCGAAUGAUGGGGGGAGUAAUAAACAAAAGGAACGAAAAAAAUUAUAUUGGCUUUAAAAGCCGAAAUCUAUCAUUUGUAAAGGGGGGAUUUUUAUGUGUUUUUUUGGAGAUUUCAAAAGGGAAGAAUCGGUUGUAUUUUGGGGGGGUUUCUCUUUUUUUUCGGCAUUUUAAUACAAAAAGCAGAGAAAAAUACAAAAAAAGGGGAAACAAGGAACGAAAACAUAAAUCGGAAGGUGAUUUUGUUUUUUAUUUUUCUCUAUUAUCUUCUUAAAUCCAUUUUUUUCUUUUCUUCCUCAUUUCUAGCAUAUAUAUACACAUAUAAUCGAAAAAUAAAAAAAAACAAAAAAAUAAAUUUUUUACCUUUUCCGGCCACCGCGUGCGGUGGCCGGCGCCGACGCCGGCGAGCCUCCGGUGGCCGUCCGGUGACCGGCCCCCCUGGCCGGAUUCCCCUUCCCCCCUCCCUUCUCUCUCCCUUCUCUCUUCCCUCUCUCUCUUUUUUUUUUCUUUCCCUCUCCCCAAAUGAUUUUUUUUGGUUAGUUUAAGCCUUAUAUAGCCCUCCAAAACGACGUCGUUUUGGGGGCUACACUUAAGCCCCAAAACGACGUCGUUUUGACCAUGCCCGACCCAUCCGACCCGACCCGCUAGAGGAUCCGCGUGUUUUCAUUUGAAUGGGAUAUUUAUGCGCGCAGUCCUUCCGAUUUUCUGAUGCUUCACAAUUAAGUUUUUUAUGGUUUUCAAUUUGGCCCUAUAAUUUCUUGCGCUUUUCGAUUUAGUCCCCGCCAAUGUGCUGCGUUUUAAUGGAAAGGAAUAAUUGUUUUUUCGGUCCCCCAACGUUUCACGCGCGUACAAUUAAGUCCCUUUUCUUUGUUUUCAUUUCAAAUUGGCCCCACAACUUUGUUUUUAAUUCAAUUUUAGUCCUUUUUUGUUGAUUUUUAUAUCUUUAUUAAAUAUCCUUGUUAUUUUUAUAUUAUUAGUAUUAUUAGUAUUACCAUUAUUAUUAUUAUGUAUUAGUAUAUAUUUUUAUUAUGUACGUGUAUACCUAUAUAUAUAUUCUCAUAUUUAAUAUUUUUAUUUCACUUUAUUUUAAUAUUUUAUUAAUGUUAUGUUUGUUUCUUUUAUAUUCCAAUGUUAUCAUUAUUAUUAUUCUUAUUAUUUUUAUUAGUUUAUGCUUUGUUAUAUAUUUAUAUAUUUAUAAUACGUAUAUAUACUUGAUAUAUUUGUAUAUACCUCGGUAAUAUUAUUACUAGUUUUCAAUAUACGCAUAUAUUACCUAAAUAUUUUAGUAUUAUGUAAAUAUUUUAACAUUAUAUUAUAUAUGUAUUUAUAUAUUACGUAUGUACAUAUACCUUUUAAUAUUAUAUUUUGUAUUACGUAAAUAUUAUUUUAAAUACUGUAUUGUAUAUAUAUAUAUCCUUAGUACCACGUUACAUAUAUAUUGUGUAUAUACUUGUUUUCUUACCCUUAUUAUAUUCAUUGUUAAUACAUUUAUUUUUUUUAUACAUGUAUACGUACCCUUUUUAUAAUAUUAUUUUUUACACAUAUAUAUAUAUUUAUCUAUGUUUUCAUAUUCUAUAAUUUAUAUGCAUUUCUUAUUUUAUGGCUUAAAAUUAUACAUGCAUAUACAUUUUUACAUAAUUGUAUUUAUUGUCAUCAUUGUUAUUUGGCGUUUGUUUAUUUAUUCAUGUACACUUGUGCUUUUUCUAAAAGGUUAGUUCUAUUUAUUUAUUUGUAUGCUUUGUUUAUGUAAUCGCCUCGUCAUUUCAUUUUGCCUAUUGUAUUGUUGUUACUCACUUUACUUUGCUCACCUCGUCGUAUUCGUUGUUGUUUUGUCAAGCAUUGACACUAAACAUCAAAAGGAAAAUUUUUCUAAAUGAGGCAAUAUUUCGCGUUUGGAAAAUCGAGAAAACGUGCCCUAACGUGCUGGGUUUCGAUUCCUCGUUCGACUAAAUAGCCAAAUAUCCUCUUAAAGCUUCAAAGUAUGGUUUCAUUAAACUAUAAGGUGAUCUUGGUUUCGAUGGUUUAGAGUAUCGUGUCCUAACGUGCUGGAUGUGAUAUUCCUUCGGAACAAGAGAAUCUUAUAUUUCAAUUCACGUUAUCAGAGUUUCUUUUAAGGAUCGCAUUUUUAAAACUCUUCAAAUUGUCAAUUUUCGACACUAAGACACUGAUUAAUCAACUAGGUACCAAUUUUGGGCGUAUCGAGGGUGCUAAUCCUUCCUCGUGCGUAACCGACUCCUGAACCCGUUUUUCUUUUUUGAAUUUCAUAGACCAGAAUCUUUGUUUUAAUAAAAAUUAAGUCGUUUAUUAAAAACAACCACUUUUCGAGGUGACCCGAUCACACCUUAUCAAAAAAGAUUGGUGGCGACUUCCGUUUUCAUUCUAUUUUCAAAAUCCAAGUCGACCCUGUUUUCAUCCAAAAAAUGGUGUCAACAGAUCCAAGACAUUUGGCGCACCUCCUUUUGAGUUGCGAAAACAUUUCUAAGUUGAGCUUAGAUGUGGAGAUAACAAGGUUACCAGAGUACCACUACUUGUCUUCAAAUCUCGCUUACAUAAAGUUGAGAAGAUGUGAGCUUGAGGAAGAUCCAAUGUCAACACUUGAGAAGCUUCCUAACUUAAGGAUUCUUGAAUUCCGUUACAGAGCUAUCAUAGGUAAGGAAAUGUUUUGCUGUGGACAAGCUUUUGCGAAACUUGAGUCUCUAAGCCUCAAGUAUCUUCCCAAUUUGGAGGAGUGGAAGGUGGAUGAAAGGGCGCUGCCUUCUCUUCGGCGAUUGGAGAUAGAAAACUGCAGAGAACUAAAAAAGCUUCCAGAUGGACUGAGGUUCAUUGCAACCCUCCAAGAACUAAAGAUAGAAUCAAUGCCAAAGACAUUCAAAGAUAGAGUCGAGGAAGGGGGAGAAGAUUUCUGGAAAGUCCAGCACGUUCCUUCUAUCAUAUUCCAAGACUGCAAGUGAUAGUAAUUAUCAUUAAUGCGAGGUAAUUCAUUAUUUUUUUAGGAAAUACUUAACCCUUUUGUUUAUAUAUAAAAAUCCACAACUAUUUUGUAUGUUUAGAUUCUUUCUCAAGCAGCUAAUAAUUUAGAGAAGAUUUUAGUUUCGGUUCUUAUCCUCUGUUUUUAACAAUGUUUCAUAUUUCCAGAGUAUUUGUCAUUUAAACCAAAAGUGAAAGAAUAUAUUGUCAAUAGGAUGUUAAGCACGUUGGUGAUGGUCAGCAGAUGCAAUUUGAAAUACUGACAUUGUCUCAUAUUUGAAGGUGUUCUCCAACAUGAUUCAUAGCUGUUACAUUUUAAUUAGCAUAAAGAUUCUUCUAUCAUAUGAUGUAUAUGUCACGGAAUUUCAACUGCUUUCAUAUGAUAUUACCAUUUUUAAUUCCUCUUCAAGUACAGAAGCCAUUGCCCUUUUUUUGUUUUUGUUUUUGCUGCUGCUCUUCAUGGGACCAUAUAAAUAUACAUAUUUAAAAAUUGUUCUUUUUACAUGACAUUGUUUUUUUUCUUAUAAUUUUUUAAUUUGUAAAGUUUGAAAUUAUGAAUUUUUUUAGGUAAUUUCUAUUAUACUGAACAUCCCUCGCUCUGCUUAAAAAAAUUAAAAUUUUAAUAUGAUAUUAAUAUUAAUGUGUGAUGCAAUAAUUGAAUUUUUAAGUAAAUAAAUUUAAAGGUAAAAUUGUAUCACUAUAACAAUAAUUAAAAAAUAAAAUGAUUUGGGACAUUUCCAAAAUAAUAAUAAUAAUAAUAAUAAUAAUAAUAAUAAUAAUAAUCAUCAAAAGACGUGACAUCACAAAAAAAUAACAAGUAAAUGACAAAAAUAGCCACAAGUGUUCUAAUUUAUAUAAAAUGAAAUAUAAACAACUACGGAAAAUAUCAUUAACACGACAUGUAUAAAACAAUGUACCAAACUAUAUAUAAAAUGAUUUACUAAUGUUAAUAAAUUUAUAUUACUAACAUGAAAAUAAACACGAAGAGAAAAUGAAAUAAUUAAAAUACAUUAUAUCAAGGUAAAAAAACAUAUGGUUUUCAUAAAAAUAUAUAAAUGUGUGUCUGAAUUAGUAUUAUGAAUCAAUUCGAUAUUAAUUUAGUUAAUAAAAUUAUGAAAAUAAUCUUACAUAUUUUAAAUAAGUUAAGAUUUAUGCAUCUUUGGUACAUGUACUUUCAUAAAAUGUUCAAUUUGGUACUUAUACUUUAAAAAUGUUUAAUGUGGUACUUGAACUAUCAAUAUGUAUUUUAUUAUUGUAAUUGAUGUUAACAACAUUAGUGGAUUACUAAAUCAGCAAAUAAAAAUUCGACACGUAAAAUUAUUUUCAAAUCCAUACGAAUAAUAUAACAUUAUGUGAAAGGCUAAAUUAAAAAUUCAAUUAAACUAAAACCAGAUAACUAAAGAUAUGAUUAAUAAAAAAAAUAAGCACUAAGCUUGCAGAAAUUAGUUUAGUUAGUUGUUGAGUGGUUAAGGAUUAGUUACUUAGUUGGGUAGUUAGCUGGGUAGUAUAAAUUGACACAUAAUUAAUUCAAUGAUAUAAGAUUUUGAUGUAUUCUUUGCAUUUGUAGUAUCAUUUUAACAUGGCAUUAGUCCUUGGUCUUGAUUUUCAUCUCCUUCUCCAUGGCUAAUUUCUUCAAUCUUGCAUUUUUUUUUCACUGUGGGCUGCUAUUCAUAUAAGGCCUGAUAGCUUUUCAUUAGACCAUUUAAUUUUCCUCUUGGUUUUUCUUGAAGUUGGUAAAUAAGUUGUUAUAACAGCUCCUAGUAUUUAGGGAUUAGUUCCUUGUAAUUAAGUAUUAAGUAUGCUAGUUAGUUACUCCCUACCCGUUAUAUUACAAUCAAGCUGUAAUAGCAAGAAUAACAAACUUGAAGCAUUUUAUUUUCUCUUAUCUUUUCAAUCGAUAUCUUAACAUGGUAUCAAGAGCUAGGUUCAAUUUUUUCUUGGUUCCAAGGUUUUUUUUCUUCGUAAUCUUCUUCAAUGGUAAUCCAACAAUCUUCUUCUCUUGUCAUUGGCUUUCAUCACCCUCUUUAACUUUACCCCUCUGAUACUCCUAGCACUCUACUGGUCUCUCAUCAACUUCUUAGCGUUGAGAAUUAUAAUAUAUAGAGUCGAUCAAUGAAAAUUGCUCUUCUUGCCAAAAACAAACUUGGAUUUGUUGAUGGCACUUGUUCACGGGCUGAUCUUCUAGUUGAUCUUCAUCCUCAAUGAGACUGUUGCAAUGCUAUUGUCCUCUCUUAGAUCCUCAACACUAGUUGCCAAAAACUUUCAGCUGGUAUUGUUUUCGCUUCGAGUGCCUGCCUUGUUUGGAAGGAUAUUCAAGAACGCUACAGCAAAGUUGAUGGGCCAGAAUCUAUUAUCUCUAUCAGAUUAUUUCUUCUCACACUCAAAAUACUUCUUCCAUCUCCACGUAUUUCACACAACUCCGCCUUUUAUGGGAUGAGUAAAGUCCAAAGAAUCCUACAAGAAAAUAGCAAAUAUUCUUCCCAUAAAAUUACUGCUUCCAAGUUGCAAAUAUAUUUUAAUGUGGGAGAACUCAUAAUAACGAUUAUUGUUUUUGUAUUUCUGUUUAUUUUUGUUAAAUUUUGUGUUGUCAAAAUGCUACAUUUUGAACAUUGGUUUUUAAUGAAAACGGUUAUUAUAAGAGAGGGUAGUUAGAUUAGUGUUAAAACGAGAAGUUGAGAGGGAAUAGAUGUACUGUUGAAAAGUCAAUUAAAAGGGGUGUUGAAAUGUCAAAAAUGCGAGGUGCAAUUGGCACCGAAAGAAAAAGUGGUAGGCAACUUGUUUAAAGCUGAAUGGGAUAAUUGCAAUUUUGGUCCCUAAUUUUUUAGGCCAUUUGCAAGUUGGUCCCUGAACCUCAACUAUAAAUAGGCCUAACCAUUUCUCAUUUCAACCAUCCCAACCAAUCUUUCUCUCUUAGUUUUCUCUCUUCUCCCAUUUGAGAAUUCUUAAGGAAUUCUAUUUGUUUGUAAUAUUUUGGAGAUAAUAAAGUUAUCAUCUGGUGUUAGUGCCCGAUGACGUAGGUAUAUUUACCGAACCUCGUUAAAACUCUUGUGUUUUUUCUUGUCCUAUUUUUCUUUCAAUAUUUGAGGGUAUAAUAGUAGUAUUUAAUUGUACUAUUAAAUUACAAUAGAAGAGAUAUUCUGACUAAGGAAAGACUUGGUACUUAAGAUAUCCUUGUGAUCCACCUCUCUUUCUUGGGAAUUGAACUUUGUGUGAUUUUUUAGUACAGUAAUUUACACACUUCCGACCCUAUUGGAACAACAAGUGGUAUCAAGAGCCGAAGGUUAAUCGUAGUAUGCUCUUUGGUUGCAGUUUAAACUGAUCUUCCACAUCAGAAAAGAUUUCCUUAGGUAUAUUGAAAGAUUAUGGAGAAAACGGUCGGUGUAGGAGCUUCAACAUCGUCCAUGUGGACAAGACCAACAAUUGCAAAUGCAAUAUUGGCCGUGGAGAUCUUUGAUGGCACGGGCCAUUUUGGUAUGUGGCAAAGUGAGGUUCUAGAUGCCCUUUUUCAGCAGGGUCUAGACAUUGCCAUUGAUGAAGAGAAACCAGAUGAUGUACAGGAGAAAGAUUGGAAGGCGAUCAAUCGGUUGGCAUGUGGCACAAUUCGAUCAUGCCUUUCUCGAGAGCAGAGGUAUGCUUUUUCAAAUGAGACUUCUGCAAAUAAGUUGUGGGUGGCACUUGAAGAAAAAUUAUUGAAGAAAAACAGUCAAAAUAAGCUCCACUUGAAGAAAAGACUGUUUCGCUUCACUUACGUCCCAAGUACCAAAAUGAAUGAUCACAUCACCAAAUUUAAUCAGUUAGUCACUGAUUUGCUAAAUAUGGAUGAGACAUUCAAAGAUGAAGAUUUGGCUUUGAUGCUGUUGGGGUCACUUCCUGAGGAGUUUGAGUUCCUAGAAACUACUCUACUUCAUGGCAGGAGUGAUAUAUCUUUGAGCGAAGUCUGUGCGGCCUUAUACAGUUAUGAACAGAGAAAGAAGGACAAACAGAAAAACUCAAUCAGAGAUACAGAAGCUUUAGUAGUCCGAGGUCAUUCGUACACUCGGAAGAAAACUCAGAAGGGGAGAUCAAAGUCAAAGUCCAGACUUGGGAAAGAUGAAUGUGCCUUUUGUCAUGAGAAAGGCCAUUGGAAGAAAAAUUGUCCAAAGCUGAAGAAUAAGGGAAAAGUUGUUGUAGAUGCUUGUGUUGCAAAGCAUGAUACUAGUGACUCUGAACUAUCACUGGUUGCAUCAUCAUCGUCGUUCCAUUCAGAUGAGUGGAUUUUGGAUUCGGGUUGUACCUAUCAUAUGUCCCCAACCGGGAGUGGUUCUCUGAUUUAGUAGAACUAAAUGGAGGAGUUGUUUAUAUGGGAAAUGAUAAUGCCUGUAAAACUGUUGAGAUAGGUUCAAUCCAAUUAAAGAAUCAAGAUGGAUCAACUAGAGUUCUGACUGAUGUUCGGUACGUGCCCAAUUUGAAGAAAAAUCUCAUCUCAUUGGGAGCCUUGGAAUCCAAUGGUUCAGUUGUUACUAUGAGAGAUGGGGUUUUGAAAGUGACAUCUGGCGCACUUGUGAUAUUGAAGGGCAUCAGGAAAAAUAACUUGUAUUACUAUCAAGGUAGUACAGUUAUUGGAGCAGUCGCUGCAGCUUCCGGUAACAAAAACUUGGACUCAAUGCAGUUGUGGCAUAUGAAGUUGGGACAUGCCAGCGAAAAAUCCUUGCAAAUUCUGGCAAAGCAAGGAUUGUUGAAAGGUGCAAAGGCUUGCAAAUUAAAAUUUUGCGAGCAUUGUAUUCUGGGAAAGCAAAAGAGAGUGAAAUUCGGCACUACUAUCCAUAAUACAAAAGGUAUUUUGGAAUAUAUUCACUCAGAUGUGUGGGGGCCUUCCAAAACACCUUCGUUGGGAGGAAAACACUACUUUGUUACUUUUGUUGAUGACUUUUCCAGAAGAGUUUGGGUGUAUACCAUGAAAACUAAGGAUGAAGUGCUUGAAGUUUUUCUUAAAUGGAAAACUAUGAUCGAAAACCAGACUGGCAAGAAAAUCAAGCGACUUAGGACGGACAAUGGAGGGGAAUAUAAAAGUGAUCCGUUCUUCGAUGUGUGCCAAGAGUAUGGUAUUGUUCGACACUUCACAGUUAGGGAUACACCACAGCAGAAUGGAGUGACAGAGCGCAUGAAUCGAACAUUGCUGGAGAAAGUUCGAUGUAUGUUGUCCAAUGCUGGGUUGGGCAAGCAAUUUUGGGCUGAGGCUGUGACAUACGCUGGCCAUCUUGUUAAUCGUUUGCCAUCAUCUGCAUUAGAAAGAAAAACUCCUAUGGAGGUAUGGUCUGGAAAACCGGCUACAGAUUAUGAUUCCUUACAUGUGUUUGGAUCCACUGCAUAUUACCAUGUGAAUGAGUCAAAGUUAGAUCCGAGGGCAAAGAAAGCUCUCUUUAUGGGAAUCACUUCUGGAGUGAAGGGAUUUCGUCUUUGGUGCUUAAGCACAAAGAAAAUGAUCUGUAGCAGGGAUCUCCACGUAUUUCACACAACUUCGCCUUUUAUGGGAUGAGUAAAGUCCAAAGAAUCCUACAAGAAAAUAGCAAAUAUUCUUCCCAUAAAAUUACUGCUUCCAAGUUGCAAAUAUAUUUUAAUGUGGGAGAACUCAUAAUAACGAUUAUUGUUUUUGUAUUUCUGUUUAUUUUUGUUAAAUUUUGUGUUGUCAAAAUGCUACAUUUUGAACAUUGGUUUUUAAUGAAAACGGUUAUUGUAAGAGAGGGUAGUUAGAUUAGUGUCAAAACGAGAAGUUGAGAGGGAAUAGAUGUACUAGUGAUACGGUGCAUUUUUGAGUCAUUUCUUUUUUGCCAGUCUAUCAAAAUUUGUCCAUUAUUCACCUUUUAUGGACGUAUCAGCAUCGAGGGUGAGACAAUUAUGGAAAUACACAUGAAUUUUCUACUCUUCUUUCUCUAAUAUCUCAUCUUUUUCUCCGAUUGCUUCUUCUUUCCUUAAUUAUUUAUGUUCCAAUUUUCUUCCUUCAUCAAAGGUAUCAAAGCCUACACGUUCCUCAUGGCCAACGACAUUAUCACUACACAUAUUCAAAAGGAAAUGGGUUUGCUGCAGCAGGAGCUUUCUCAACUUGAUAACAAACUAGAUUCCAAGUUUGAUGCUCGUUUUAAAGAUUUUCGUGAAAAUUUAAGGGCAAAAUCUGAGGGGAAAUCAUAUCUGAGUUACACUUUUUCUUUAACCAGUACCUUGGGUAGCCUACUACUGGUGUUUAGAGAUUGAGUCAAGUGUUGUUCCAAUAGGGUCGAAAGCGUGUAAAUUAUUGUACUAAAAAAUCACACAAAGUUCAAUUCCUAGGGAAGAGAGGUGGAUCACAAGGAUCUCUCAAGUACCAAGUCUUUCCUUAGUCAGAAUAUCCAUUCUAUCGUAAUUUAAUAGUACAAUUAAAUACUACUAUUAUACCCUCAAAUAUUGAAAGAAAAAUAGGACAAGAAAAAAUAUAAGAGUUUUAACGAGGUUCGGUAAAUUAUACCUACGUCCUCGGGCACUAACACCAGAUGAUAACUUUAUUAUCUCCAAAAUAUUACAAACAAAUAGAAUUCCUUAAGAAUUCUCAAAUGGGAGAAGAGAGAAAACUAAGAGAGAAAGAUUGGUUGGGAUGGUUGAAAUGAAAAAUGAAAAGGCCUAUUUAUAGUUGAAGUUCAGGGACUAACUUGCAAAUGGCCUAAAAAAUUAGGGACCAAAAUUGCAAUUAUCCCAUUCAACUUUUCAACAUUCGGUGCAACUUGCUUCACCUUUUUAACAAGUUGCUUCCUACCUUUGUUGACUUUUCAACAUCAAGAUCAUGGCAAGGGAUUGUUGGGUACACCUCUACCACGAUUUCCAUCCAAGGGCACAUUGGUUGUCUCCAACGGUCGAUGGGGGUCAUUUGGUCACUUCUUCAUGCAUUAGUCCAAUUGAUUCUGUAGGAAGACUAUUUUAGUUGCAAUGUCCGCGGUCUAAUGGCACGAAUUUUCACAGUUGGUGGGCUAAGCUCGAACAAUUUUUCAAGGCUAAGUAGGUUGGAGAUCAACCUAUGGUUCGACUGGUCAUGUUGAAUCUUGAUGGUCGAGCACUUGAAUGGCAUUACUUUUGUGCACAACGUCACGGGGGUCUUCAUCCCCUCACUUGGGAAGGGUAUGCUCAGGUUUUUCAUAGGUAUAAACGUAACAUAUUUUAAUCUCAUUCUUAAUACAUUUUGGAUGAUUAAUUAUGCAAAUUAGUGAAUUUGGCUUCUAAGCAUUCUAAAGUCUAUAAAUAUCAAUUAGAAGUAGAGAGAAUGGAGCCAUCAAAGAAGAUUGAAUAAAACACUCAAAGAAAGCCAUCGAAGACGACUUGAAAGCAGAUUUCGAUCAAGAUCGAAGACCUCUUUUUAAUUUUUUUUUGAAGUUUUUAUGAGUUUCUUUGUUUCUUGUGGUUUUUUUUUAACUUUGAGAUGUUUUCAUUUAGGAUUAUGAACUAAUUCCCUAGAUACUUAGGGAUGAUGAAACCUAUGAUGAAUCCUUUUACUUAAUUUCUGUUUUACCCAAUAAAUACUUUAUUCUUAUUCUCAAUUAUGUAUGCUUAUUUCUUAUUUUAAUAUUUCUGAGAUAUUAAUUCAUGUUUAAUGUGCUUAAUCUAGUGGAGCAAAAGUCUCUGUUUAAGAGUAGAUCUAGCAUGACUGAGUGGAGUUUCAUGCAAUUCUAGAAAUAGGACAACAUAAAUCUACCGGAUUAGAGUCAAAUCUAAUAAGAAAAAUCCAUAGAUCGAUUUAAUGCAAUGAUAGGGUUUUAAUUAGAAAGAGAUUUCAAUUAAUCAACCUAGAGUCAGUUAUUCUUACUAUCGAAAGAGAUAUUAACAUAAUCUAGAGAUUUCUACAUAUCAAGACACAAGUGAAUAAAUCGUUUAAUUUAGAUUCAUAAUAAUAUGUGAAGUCUAGGUGGAUUCUUUCCUGGGUAUUGUUUCUCUCAUUGGUUAAUAUUCGUUCAUUUCCUUGAUUCGUUCUCUGUUACGUUCUUAGUAAAUUAGUUUAGAAAAUUUAGAUUAAAACAUAUCACUCCAAAUUAUCGGCUAAAUAAUAAGAAGAUGGUAAUUACUAAUACUUUUAGUACUCGUGGGUACGAUAUCUUUACUCACUGUAGCUAUACAAUAGUUCAAUAGGUGUGCUUGCCUUUGUCGUAUUUAUAGUUAAUUUUGUGAUCAUCAAGUUUUUGACGUCGUUGUCGAGGACCAAAAUAUUAGAAACAUUUUAUUUUAUUUUAUAUAUUUUUUAGUUAAUUUUUACAUUCUAAUUUUUAUUUUGUUUGCUUCUGGUAGGUUCCUUUAGUUUAUGACUAGAAGAAACCCAUCGGGACCAUUAAUUUACGACAGUGAGAUUGAAAUUACUGCUCAUAAAAACCGUAGAGAAGCAAGUCAGAGUCGACAGAAUCUAGUAGACGAACAAGAAGAUAUUACUAUUACUGAGAAGAUGGGUGAUAAUUAGAAUAUUCAACUACCUCUUACAGCUGCAACUCCUGUUCCUCGUACUAUGUACGAUUAUGCCAAGCCCACUCUGUCUGGGGUUGAAUCGAGUAUUGUGAGACCCACCAUUGCUACAAAUAAUUUCAAACUGAAGCCAAAUAGAAUUCAGAUGGUACAACAGUUUGUUCAGUUCGAUGGUUUGUAAGACAAAGAUCCAAAUACUCAUUUGGCAAAUUUUUUAGAAAUUUGUGAUACUUUCAAAAUUAAUGGUGCCACUAAUUAUGCCAUUCGCUUACGAUUAUUCCCUUUCUCAUUCAUUAACAAGGCAAAGUAGUGGUUGAACUCUUUACCAUGAGGUUCCAUCACUACAUGGGUACAAAUGACCGAGAAAUUCUUUUUGAAGUACUUCCCACCGGCUAAGACAACCAGACUGAGUAAUGAUAUCUUUUCCUUUGUUCAAAUCGACUUAGAGACUCCAUAUGAUGCAUGAGAGAGGCAUAAGGACUUAUUGAGAAGGUGCCCUCACCAUAGGUUACCUCUAUGGCUACAAGUUCAAACCUUCUACAAUGGGUUUGAAUCCCUCAACUAGGCAAUUAAUCAACGUGGCAGCUAGUGGAACCUUAAAUAAUAAAAUACCCGUAGCAGCUUAUGAAUUUAGUGAAGAGAUGACACUAAAUAAUUAUUAAUGGCAAGUCAAGAGGACAAAACUAAAGAAAGUAGCCUAUGUCUUUAAUUUAGAUGUAGUCACCAUGUUAUCGAAUCAUAUAGAACAAUUAAAUAAUGAAAUUGAUGGUUUAUAUCUUUCUAUGCAGGUACAUCCGAUGAAGCAAUGCAACACAAAUAGAGGUGGAAUUAAUAACCAAAAAUGUUUACCCUUCGGUCCUAGCACAGAAAAUGAGCAAGUUAAUUAUGUGGGUAAUAAUUUUACGCCUCAAAGUAACCAUUAUAAUAGUAACUAUAAUACAGGUUGGAGGAACCAUAUUAAUUUCUCUUGGAGUGGUCAAGGGAAUUAGAGAGCAUAACCGCCUUUAGGCUUCCAACAACCAUCUUAUCAACAAGAGAAUAAGUCAAACCUUGAGAAAAUGUUGACAAAGUUUAUCUCAGUGUCAGAAACUCGUUUCCAACACACUGAUGCAACACUAAAACAUCGACAAGCAUCGAUUCAAGGGCUUGAGAAUCAAAUAAGUCAGCUUACUAAGUUAAUUUCAAAAAAACCACAAGGUAGUUUGCCUAGCAAUACUAAAACUAACCCAAGGGAGUAGCUUCAUGUGAUUACUAUUUGAGAUGAAAAAGGGUUAGUUGAAUUUGAAAAAAAUCAAGGCAAGAGAUUAUGGUGAGUAACGAUAAAGUUGAGGCAAGUUAGAAAGAGUAAAAGCCGAUUGUCAAAGAAUAUAAACAUUGAGUGACAUAUCCUAACACGACAAAGAGAGACCACAGGAACGAACAAUUUGGUAAAUUGGUGCCAGCUCUCCAAGAACAGUUUGGGUUUGCUAGAUUUUUAGAUCUCAUAAUUGAACUUGUUGCCCUGAAACAGAAGAGCACGGUUGAGCAAUACCAUAAUCAAUUUGUAAAUCUUUUGAACCAACUACACUUGCUUGAGAGUUAUGCAUUGAGUAUAUUUGUUCAUAACCUUAAGUCUGAGAUUGGCCAAUAUUUGCGGUUGUUUAAACCAACAAUCUUGGAAGAAUGAUUAAUCUUUGCUUUACAAAUUGAGGAUAUUAUCAACACUGUCUCUCUAAAUAUGUUUCUAUAACGGGGACAUCUAGUUAUUCUAAACCCUUGUUUCCUCAAACCAAGACUUACAACAAUCCUGGGAAUGCCCUUGUGACUAGAGACCAACUUCUUAAUUUGCCUAGUACCAAAGGCCCUACCAAGGCCUUCUAUCAGUCUUAAAUGGAUGAUAGAAUAAAAAAAGGACUCUAUUUUUGGUGUGCCUAAAAUAUGCUUUAGAACACAAAUAUGUUAAAUCCUAAUUAUAUCAAUUGGUGGUCGAGGCUUCUAAUAAACCAACCAACCAGUUAAUCAAUCUUUCAUCGGAGGAUUUCCAAGACUACCCUGAAAAAUUAAAAACCGCAGAAGGGGAAGUUGACUUAGUAGCACUAGUAUUGUUACCACAUACUCUCAAUGGUUCUCAAGGUUAUAACACCAUGAGGUUGGUAGCUCCAAUUGGACACUUGGAGGUCAUUAUUCUUGUUGAUUCUAGUAGCACUCACAAUUUUAUUGAUUCUCGAAUGGUGAGAAUGUUGUAAACACCAAUGGAUCCUUCUUGUAAACUCAAAGUCAUGGUAGCAAAUGGUGUACAUUUAGCAACUCAAGGGGUCUAUUGAUCUGUGAGUUGGGAAGUACAAGGGCAUACAUUUUCCACCAACUUCAUGGUUUUACCUGUCAAAGGGUGUGAUUUAGUCUUUGGGAUUCAAUGGCUUUUGCCUUUGAGGUCUAUUGUAUGGAAUUUUUUCCUCUCUGACCAUAGAAUUCGAACAUUUGAGGCAAACAUGUGCUCUCCAAGGAAUUCUUCUUUGUAGCCUUUAGCUGUUAUCUAGAACACAAUUAUCCAACUAUUUCAGAUGGUAAGGACAAAGACCUAGUCCCAUGUUACUUCCUACCACUGUUCAAGUCGUUUUAUCAUUGUCAUUUCAGUAAUUGCAUUAGGACAUUGAGCUAAUCCUCACUGAGUUCAAUGAUGUUUUUCAACUAUCUACUGGACUUCCACCUAUCCAAAACUAGGACCACAAAAUUCCUUUGAAUGAUGAGUAUCAAGUGGUCAAGAUCAAACCUUACCGAUACCUUACAAUCUAGAAGAAUGAGAUCGAAAGACUUCUACAGGAAAUGUUGCAAGCUAGGAUUGUAAAGGACAUCUAUAGUCCAUCUGCUUCACCAAUUGUUAUGGUAAAGAAUAAGGAUGGAAGCUGGCAUUUAUGUGUGGAUUAUAGGCAGCACAACCAGCUGACUAUAAAGGACAAAUUUCCAAUACCAAUAAUUGAGGAGCUACUUGAUGAAUUGGGACAAGCUGCUUAUUUCUCAAAAUUGGAUCUACAUUCUAGCUAUUACCAAAUUCGUAUGUGGGAGGGUGACAUUCAUAAAACUACAUUUCGCACUCACGAGGGUCACUAUGAAUUUUUUGUCAUGUCAUUUGGCUUGACCAACACACUCUCUGGUUUUUAAUCCUUAAUGAACAGCAUUUUUAAACCUUUACUGAGGAAGUCAGUGUUAUUUUUUUUAUGACAUUCCGGUCUACUCGACCAAUUGGAUUAAGCAUUUGGGGCAUCAGUUGUAUGCUAAGAAAGGAUACAACUUAGGUGGAAUAUUUGGGACAUAUCAUUUCUGCAAGGGUAGUUUUUAUAGACCCUGCAAAAAUCGAAGGAGUUAUUCAUUGGCCUUCCCCAACUUCAUUCAAGAACUUAAGGGCCUUCUUGGGCCUAUCUAGCUAUUAUAGGUGAUUUAUAAGGCACUAUGGGGUAAUAGCCAAACCCUUAACAACCUUAUUAAAGAAGGAGAUCCAUUAGCAGUGGUCUGACAGUGCUUAGACAAGUUUUGAUCAGCUCAAGACAGUAGUCACUCAAGCACUAGUUUUGGUUCUACUAGAUUUUAAGGAGGAAUUAUAUGUUGAAACAGAUGCUUGUGGUCAGGGGAUAUGGUUAUAUUACAAUAGAAGGGUCAUCCCAUUGCCUAUUUUAAUAAGUGGUUAGGCAUUAGGCAUCAAGCCUUGUCCAUUUAUGACAAGGAAAUGUUAGUAGUUUUGCUAGUUUGAAAGAAAUGACAUUCUUAUUUGAUAGGAAGGCAUUUCCACAUUAAAAUUAACCACCAGAGCUUGUGAUUCCUCUCAGACAAGUAGGCCAUUGCUCCUUAUCAGUAGAAAUGGGUGGCUAAAAUGUUUGGCUAUGACUACACCAUCACUUACAGACAAGGAGGACAGAACAUUGUAGCUGAUGCACUUUCAUAACAAGAUCAUUCACUUGAGGGUCAGAUGUUCUAGUGUAUUGUAAGUAUUUCAUGGUCUGAAAUUUGGGGCCAAAUCCUGGAUGCUUGUUUCACUGACACUCGGUUGCAACAGAUCUGUUUAGACUUGCAACAUUCUCUUCACCUCCAUCCAAAAUAUUCAUGCGAUGGGACAAUAUUACGAAGGAAAGGUAAAGUAGUGGUUGGGGAAAACCUGGAACUAAGGAAGAAGAUAUUUGAUAUGUUCCAUAGUGAAUCUAUUAGAGGACACUCUGGGGUCCAUGCCACCAAACACAAAAUUUUAUGGUUGUUUCAUUGAAAGGGCCUCUCAAUGGAUGUGAAGCAGUGGGUAAAGGAAGUGUGGUUUGCUACUGAUACAAGUAUGAUUCCUCUGCCUAUCCAGGGUUACUUCAACCUCUCCCUAUUCCUGAUUGAGCAUGGGUUGCAAUAAGCUUAGAUUUUGUUGAAGAGUUACCUAUAUCCAAGGGGAAGGACAUUAUCCUUAUUGUGUCAAUAGACUCACCAAAUAUGGGUAUUUUUUAGCAUUAUCUCACCCUUAUACUACUCUUAUUAUGGCUCAACUAUAUUUUGAUCAAGUUUACAAUCUUCAUGAGGUCCCUGAAUGUAUCAUUUCUGAUCAAGAUAUGGUUUUCAUCAGCUAUUUCUAGCAAGCCUUAUUCAAACACCUAGGGGUUAAACUACAUUUGUCAACUGCUUACCACCCUCAGACCGAUGGUCAAACUGAGUUAUUAAAUUGGUGCUUAAAAUGGUAUUUGAGGUGUAUGUCAGGGGAACAACCCUUGAAAUGCAUCUUAUGGCUGCUCUUAGCAGAAUGGUGGUAUAAUACCACAUUUCAUACUGCCAUCUAACAAACCACCUACGAGGCCUUGUAUGGCUAAGAACCUCCUCAUUAUAUACCUUAUUUGGUAGGUUCUUUUUCUGUUGCCACUGUUGAUCGUAGGCUACAACAUUGUGUUGCCACAAAACACAUGAUGCGACUUUAUUUAAAAAGAGCACAGGAGAGAAUGAAAUAGAUGGUUGACAAAAGGCGAUUAGAAGGGAGUUUUAGGUAGGUGACUUGGUUUAUUUGAAACUCCAACCUUACUGACAACAUUCAAUUCGAAAAUGGGGUAAUCAAAAGUUCUCUCCUCAUUAUUUUGGGCCCUAUCCAAUUGAAGGUAGGAGGGGAAGGAUAGCAUACAAUUGACUCUACCUGUUGAUGCUCAUAUCCACUCUACUUUUCACGUGUCUCAGCUUAAGAAACAUAUUGGUUAUGUUCCUAGUUCCCCUAUAUUACCUUCUACAGAUUUUGAAGGCAACUUUAUCAAACUACCAGCUCGCAUCCUCAAUCGAAGAAUGGUGAAAAAGGGAAACUAUGCGAUCACUGAAGUGUUAGUGGAAUAGACCAACACUUUUCCUGAGGAUUCCACUUGGGAAUGUCUGAACGAGAUCCAGAAGAAAUUUCCAAUGUUUGAUCCUUGAGGACAAGGAUCGUGUUCUGGAAGCAACUACUUGAUGUGAGAGGACUCAUAAUAACGAUUACUGUUUUUGUAAUUCUAUUUAUUUAUGUUAAAUUCUGUGUUGUCAAAACGCUACAUUUUGAACAUUAGUUUUUAAUGAAAACAGUAUAAGGUAGGGUAGUUAGAUCAGUGUCAAAACGGGGAGUUGAGAGGGAGUAGAUGUACUAGUUAAAAUUAUAACUUCAUUGUCCACCCAAGUUAAAAGGUUUAUCUUUGUUCUUGAAUGCUGCAAUCAAAACCAAUUAUAACUUCAGAAACGUUAUUUAGACAUAUAUAUUUUAAUCUUUGAAGUUUAAAUGGUUUUAAUAUAUUUAGACAUGAAUAAAAAAGGGUAUAUUAUUCGUAUCAUUUUAUGAGAAAAGAAUAGCUCUAUUUUGGCAAUAGUGCAAUCUGAUUGAAUUGGUGAUCAAAUAUUUUUGGCUCCCCUUUUAUUCUUUGCUCAAUUUUUUACCAAGGGAUGAUUAAAGAAAAUAUGGAUUUGAUUACAUCAAUUUAGAUGUAAACAUUAAAUAAUAUUUUUAAAUAUAUAAUGUUUUUUUAAAAAAAGAGAGUAUAUUUUUCGUAUCUUUUCAUGAGAAAAGAAUAACUCUACUUUGGCAAUUAGUGCAAUCUGAUUUAAUUGGUGAUCAAAUAUUAUUGGCUCCCCUUCUAUUCUUUGCUCAAGCUUUUACCAAGGGAUGAUUAAAGAAAAAAAGGAUUUGAUUACAUCAAUUUAUUCUUUCUUCUUUUGCCUUUUUUAUUCAGAAUCAGUCACCUAAGCAUUGGGUUAAGAAUCCAAUUUUCAUUGCAAACUACUUUGUUACAUCAUCGGAAUCACUUCAACCUAUUGCACAAGCUAGAAUUUAUAGUUCAAACAUUGCAAAAUGUUGUCUUUUGCCAAUAUAUAUCGUUUUUUGCUGCUUUACUUUAACAUAAACAUAAAAAUAAAAAAGAUUGGUUUCAAUAAAUUUAGUUGUUCUUGUUUUAGCUUCCAUUAAUUAGGAUUACUUGCUAAAGCAAUUGGAUAAGAAUCUAAUUCCCCUUGUGCAGUACUCUUCUCCUUCCAUGGGAAUCACCUCAACCUGUGUCCACAAGCAAGAACCGUAUAGUUUAAUUUAACUUUUAACCAUAUAAUCAAUUGUACCUGAAACCAAAAAUUCCAAGUUAUCAACUGUCUUUGGUCACAAAAAAAAAAAAAAUUGCUCUCUCAUGGAUUUCUCUGCUGUUUCUUCUGCUCUCAAAGCAAUCGGCGAGCUAACACAAGAAGUCACAUCCUUGUGGGGCGUCGAUGAACAAGUUGAGGGCUUGGCAAGUGAGUUGAGAUGGAUGCAAAGCUUCCUGAAGGUGGCAGACGCAAGAAAAGUUGACAAUGAUAUGAUACGUACCAGCGUUGUUGAGAUCAGAGAGUUGGCCUACGAUGCUGAAGAUGUGAUAGAGACGUUUUCCCUCAAAGUUGCUUCCAAAAGGAAAGGUGGAUUUUCAAAUUGCAUCAAAAGAUCCGCUUGUUUCCUCAAAGAGGGAUGCCUGCUCCACCAGAUCAAGUCAGAGAUAGAGAAAAUCACAGCCAAAAUCAAAGAAUUGGCUCGAAAAUUGCAGAUGUAUGAUGUAUCAAAGUUCGGGGUUGAUGGAGAAGGACCAAGUUUUUCAACUGUAAGGCGGGAGGCAAGGCGGCCUUUUCCUCAUGUUAUGGAUGAUAACAUUGUUGGAUUGGAUGAUGACGUCAAGAAAUUAGUCACAGUUCUUCUCAAUGAGCAAAGUGAAUGUAGGGUUGUCUCCAUAUGCGGAAUGGGUGGUCUGGGCAAGACCACUCUUGCCAAGAAAAUAUAUCAUCACAGCCAAGUUGUUGGUCAUUUCAAGCACUUGGUUUGCGUAUAUGUUUCUGAACACUGUCAAAAAAGAAAGGUUUGGGAAGAUAUUCUAUCAGGUCUUCACAUCCUAAGUGACGAAGACAGGAAGAUGAAUGUUGAAAAAUUAGCAAAAAAGUUAUCUAGUUUCUUUGAGGAUAACAAAUGUUUGGUGAUACUGGAUGAUGUUUGGAAUAUCGAUGCUUGGAAUAGCUUAAAACCAGCAUUUUCAGCAAGAGAGACGAAAAGCAAGAUCUUACUCACCUCUCGGAACAAGGAGAUAGUUUCACACGCCGACAAAAAUGGUUUCUUAUAUGAGCUGCAGUACCUAAACUACGAUCAGAGCUGGGAACUAUUUCAAAAGAUUGCCUUCCCCCAAACAAAUUCUCCAGGUAAUAUGUUUUUUGAUUUCAUAAUCGCAAAAUUAUUCUAUCUAAAUAUAUAUUGCAACAUUUGCUCAAUUUAUUAUUUUUUUUUUGCUGAAGAGUUCUAUAUUUUAAAUUUGCAUAAUAAUUUAAUUAUCUCAUCAACUUUAUAAAAAAAUUAUUUUAGUCAUUCAUUUAUUUUUUCACCUUUUUUAAUUCUUAAACUUGCAUUUUUUGUCAAAUUACUCCUAAAUUGAUAAUAAAGUUAAUGUUUGUUAACUUUGUUGACGUAACAUUCAUAUGAUAGUCCACGUACAAUAGCAAUUAAUUAAUUUUUUUAAAAUUAAAAAUAUAUAUAUUUAUAAUUUUUAAGAAUUUUAAGAAUAUUUAAUUUUUAAAAAAUAUUUUUAUAAUUUAUUUUAAUUUUAAAUUUUUUAAAAAUUAAUUAAUUGCUUACUUGACAUUCACAUGUAUGCCAAUUCAGUAAAGUUAAUAUACGUUAAAAUUUUCAUUAUUUGUAGGAGUGAUUUGACAAACAACUCAAGUUUCAGGAUGAAAAGAGAUUAAAAAUUAAAUGAAUAACUAAAAUAAUCUUUUUUUAUAAAAUUGGAGAGCCAGAUAAGUUAUUGUCCUUCUCAAUUUGUUUAUGAGUUUAUGUCUUGUUCCCAAAAGCUUUUCAGAGUUUGUUAAUUGAUUUAUUGUAUGAAUUUUGUAAUUUUUUAUGAUAAAUUUGAUCAUAUUUGUAGUUUAUUUUAGUAAACUUAUAUAAAGUAGUAUCUAAAUAUUAAAUUUAUGAAAAAUAAAUUUAAAUAAUUUUAAUAUCUAAUACAAAUUGAGCAUUUAAUUUAUUUUGAUUUUUUUUCUAAAUGUUACAUUGGGUGGUUCAGACUAUCCCAAAGUUGAAAAUAUCCCAAUCUUUCUUAUCAACAUUUCUAGCUUAUAAUACUCUUUAUUUUCAAAACUCUAAGCACAACUAGCUCUAUAAUUUGUAUCUAUAAUCUAUAUAAAAUCACAAGUUUAAAAAAUAUUUUGAAUUAACGAGAAUACUUUUUAUUUUUAUCGUAUUACUAAAUUCACAUAUCAAAAAAAUUGAAGUAAACUAGAAGUUAAGAUAAUUUAUUUUACUUUAAAAGAAUUAUUACUUGAGUGUAACUCUAAGCAUAAAAUAUAGGAAAAAAGUUGUGAUAAUUGUAAUUAUAUUAGUUAAAAAAUUGAUGUAAAAAAGAAGGUAAGUUGAUUUUAUUAAUGUAAAAUAGAGUUAUUACUUGAUGAAAUUUUAAGCAUCUUAACAAUCACUUAAUUAAUAUUAGAGUUAAUUUGUCAGCAACUUGCAUUGCAUCCUGCUUCACUGAUUAUUUGAAAUUGUUGAGUAUGUUAAUAUUGUGGUUAAUUUUUUAAACUGUUGCACUGAAUUCUAUGAAAUUUGUUUUGGAAUUAUGCAGGCUAUAAAAUUGAUGCGAAAAUGAAAGAGUUAGGAGAGGGCAUGGUUAAACACUGUGCAGGGCUUCCAUUAGCCAUCAUUAUAUUAGGAGGAAUUUUGGCUACAAAGUAUCCUUCAUUAAAUGAAUGGCUGAAGGUAUCUAUAAAUGUGAAAUCAUACUUCAAGAUCGAUAAAGGUCAAGUAUUAAAAGAUAUGUUAGCAUUAAGUUAUGAUGAUUUGCCUCCCUUUUUAAGACCAUGUUUCCUUUAUUUAAGCCAAUUUCCUGAGGAUUAUGAGAUACCUGUGGAUAGAUUGAUUCAGUUAUGGAUUGCCGAAGGUAUUGUUUCAUCAAAGCAAGAAGAAGGGCUAAUAGCGGAAGAUGUGGCUGAAAGUUAUUUAAUAGAGCUUGCAGAAAGAUGUAUGAUUCAAGUACGAGAAAGAGACAUUGCAACCUUAAAGAUGAGAAGUUUUCAGAUGCAUGAUCUAAUGAGAGAUGUUUGCUUGUCAAAGGCAAAAGAAGAAAAAUUCUUCGACAUUGCUGAUCAGUCAAAUGCCUGCCAGUUAUCCCGAAUUGGGAGGGUUCGCAGAGUUUGUGUACACAAAUUUAUUCGCUUACAGUGCAUUAAAAGUCCACGUCUUCGAUCACUUUUGCUCUUCGAUGAGUUUUUACCGAAUGAAGAACUGGAAAAUACUUUUCCAUUGACAAUGCACAGCUACAUCAAGAACCAUGAUUUUGUGAUACUUUUAGCUAUUAGCGUAUUAGGUACUAAAUGUAGGGGAAUUUGGAAAUAUAUGUUCAAUAAUUUUAAUUUUCUUAGAGUCUUAGAUUACGAAGGAGGAGGAGAGGCAGGAUGCAAGUUACCCAAUGACAUUGGUAAACUCAUCCAUUUACGAUUCUUGAGAUUAAGGGGUCUUGAAUUCUUCACUUCAAAGUUGCCAUCAUCUCUAGGCAACUUAAGGUUCUUGCAAACAUUGGAUUUGAGAAUCAAAAACAUAUGUCGAAGGUCUAUUCAUGUACCUAACCUGUUAUGGAGGAUGCAGCAACUAAGGCAUCUAUAUCUCCCCGAGGAAUGUAGUCUUAAAACAAAGUUGAAGUUGGGUACAUUGAAAAACCUCCAAACACUUGUCAACUUCAACACCAAGAAUUGUUAUGUAAAGGAUCUUAUCAACAUGGAAAACCUUAGAGAGUUGGAGAUUCGAGGGCCCUUCAAUAUUGAAGAUUUUAACACGGAGGAGUUGGACAAGAAUCCACCUAUCAUCCAAAGUAAAUAUCUUCAUUCCUUGUCUAUUAUCAAUGAUGAAGGAAGAAUAGAUCCAAAACAUUUGGUGCACCUACUUUUGAGUUGUGAAAACAUUUCUAAGUUGAGCAUAGAUGCGGAGAUAAGAAGGUUACCAGAGUACCACUACCUGUCUUCAAAUCUUGCUUACAUAAAGUUGAGAAGGUGCAAGCUUGAGGAAGAUCCAAUGCCAACACUUGAGAAACUACCUUACUUAAGGAUGCUUGACUUACAUGAAGAGGCUUUCAUAGGAAAGGAAAUGUCGUGCAGAGCACAAGGUUUUCCCAAACUCGAGUCUCUAAGCCUUACAGGCCUUAAUAAUCUGGAGGAGUGGAAGGUGGGUGAAGGAGCCAUGCCUUCUCUUCAGCGAUUGAAGAUACAAGGAUGCCGACAUCUAAGAAAACUUCCAGAUGGACUCAGGUUCAUUGCAACCCUCCAAGAACUGAAGAUUAGAUGGAUGCCAUACACAUUCGAAGAUAGAGUGAGGAAAUGGGGUGAAGAUUUUUGCAAAGUCCGACAUGUUCCUUCUAUCAUAUUCCAGUAGUUAUGAUUAAUGCCAGGUAAUUCAUAAUCUUUAUUUGAUGAAAUACUUAACCCUUUUGUUUAUAUAUAAAAAUCCACAACUAUUUUGCAUGUUUAGAUUCUUUCUCAAGCAGCAGAUAAUACUUUAGAUAAGAUCCUAGUUUCCGUUCUUAUCCUCCGUUUCUGACAAUGUCUCAUAUUCCCACAGGAUUUGUCAUUUGAAUUAAAAGUGCUAAAAAAAUGUUGCCAAUAGGGUGUUAAGCACGUUCGUGAUGGUCAGCAAAAGCGAUAUGGAAGACUGAAAUUAACUGAAAUUGUCUUUUAUUUCAAGAUUCUUCAACUACUUCAUAUCAUAUUGACAUUUUUUAAUAUUUCCUCUUCAGGUAUAGAAGCCAUUGCCAUAUUUCUUUAUUCUGUUGCUGCUCCUCAUGGGACCAAAUAUAUUUUAAAAAGUUGUAACAGUACCGUGUGGAAUUUUUUGUAUUGUAAAAUUAGAGAUUGAAGUUGUCUUGUAUUUUUUAUUCGCUAGAGAUUGGGUUUUUUUUAUUAUUUAUUUAUAAUUUUCAAAUUUGUAAGGUGCAAAAUUAUGAAAAGCUUUUUAGGUAACUUCUAUUCUACUGUACAUCCCUUGCUUAAAAAUUUUAAAAUUUUAAAAUGAUAAUAAUAUCAAAGUGUGAUGCGAUAAUUCAAUUUUUAAGUAAAUGAAUUUAAAGGUAACAAUAAUUAAAAAAAGCAUGGUAAGUAUGUGACUGAAUUAGUGUUAUAAAUCAACUCGACAUCAACUCAAUUAAUGAAUUUAUAAAAAUAACCUUAUAAAUUUUAAAUAAGCUACGAGUAAUGCAUAUUCGGUAAAUGUACUUUCAUAAAAUAUCCAAUGUGAUACCUAUACUUUGAAAAUGUUCAAUGUGGUACCUAAAUUGUUAAUAUGUUUUAUUAUGAUAUCUAAUGUUAACCACGCUAGUGAAUUACUAAAUUAGCAAAUGAAAAUUCGACAUUUAAAGUUAUUUUAAAAUCCAUGUGGAUAAUAUAACGUUACGUGAAAGGCUAAAUAAAUAAAGAAUAAAUUAAAUUAAAAGCAAAUAACUAAGGAUAUGGUUUAUAAAAAAAGAUAAAUACUAAACUUACAUGAGUAGAAACAUCAUCUUUUCCAAAGAGUUUUCCAUUUGAAAUAAUAUUUUUAAUUGAUUUUUAAAUAAUAUUUUUAUAGGCAUAAUUACUUAGCCCUCUAACUUUAUAGAAAAAGUCAUUUUAGCCCUUCAUUUAAUUUUUUUUACCUUUCUUAUCACUCAAACUUGUAUUUUUUGUCAAAUCAUCCAAAAUGGAUAGAAAAGUUAACGUUUGUUAACUUCGUUGAUGUGGCAUACACAUGGAUUGACAGGUGAGUUUUACGUAAGCAAAUAAUUAAUGUUUAAAGUUUUAAAAAAUUGAAAAUUAUUGAAAUUAACAAAAAUAUAAAAUUAUUUUUUAAAAAAUAAUUAAUUGCUAAUGUAGCAUACAUGUGAUAAUUCAUGUGUAUUCCAUAUCAACAAAGUAACAAACGUUUAACUUUUUCAUCCACUUUGGGAUGAUUUGACAAAUAAUACAAGUUUAAUGGCUAAAAGAGACAAAAAGGAGUUAAAUGGAAGCCUAAAAUAACCUUUUUUUGUAAAAUUAGAGGGUCAAAAAAGUCAUUAUACCUUUUUAUUAUCCACGUAAGUACUGGUGCGUUACUGGAAAUUUAAUAUUUACUUCUUUUUUAUUAACCAUAUAGGCCCAAUUCGCCCGGCCCACAAUAAAACCAAAAAUCAAUUAAAAAUAAAUAAAUAAAGUCUAAGUUUUUUACAAACCAUCAAGCCCAAAUAAUAAAUUAAAUUAAAAGCAGCCCAAAUACAUUUUUUAAACCCAAUUGAAUAAACCCAAACCCUAAACCCGAGACCUAAUUGGACCCAAAGAAAAUCAACAACUGAGAACACCAGAAACUUCUGGAAUACACCAGAACAGUGCCAGGGGGUCGGGUUCCCAUGAGCCGUUUCCUCGCUCCUCCGUACAGCCGUUCCUGUAAAAGAAUACACGAGAAGAAAUAGAAUAACAGAAUACGCGGAUGACAGUAGGAAAGUAUUUUUAUUUUUUCGCUAUUUCUUUGUAAAUUCAGACUAUAAAAGCCUCACUUGUACUCCAUGUAUUUUUACGCAAGCAUGCACACUAAAUAUCAAAAAGAGAGAAUCAAAAGUUAUUCAAAGGUAAUUUCUUAUUCUGUUUUUUUUUCUUUUUUGAAUUGCUUGCAAUCUUUUGCAUGAAAACAAAACGAAUACCUGAAACGACGCCAAUGAGAGCCCAAACAUUUCAGAAAUGUGAAGGUAUGGGCGAGGUUGAAUGGUUGAGUGUGUUCUUUCGAAUUUUGCUAUGUUUUUUCGUGAGCAAGUAGUAUUAGAUCUAAAGUUUUUUUUUUUUAAAUAAAAUAGCUUACCAGAUUUCCUUGAGCGGAGCCUUCGUUGGUGGAAUCUGGUCGCUGCUUGUGCAUUGUCGACCACCAAAUGGAAUGGUGGUUCGGCGGUUGCUGGAAUGAGCCCUAACAAAUUGAUUUUAGGGCUGUAAAUUUUGGUUAGAAUGUUGGCUGUGUUUGGAAAAGGAAAUAGGAAAAAAAAAAGGUUUUAAAUAACCUAUUAAUAAAACGGCACCGUUCAAAGGGAUAAAGAUCCGCUUGUUGGCCCGAUUAACAAGUCAGAUCCACGCCCUUUUGUUUGAAUGGGGAAAUUGCGCGCUGGAUCCUUCCUUACGCGCGAGUAUUCAAUUGCGUCUUGUUAGUUUUGCCUUGUUUUUUAAUUUGGCUCUUUAGUUCAUGCGUGUUUUCAUUUUAGUCUGUGAUACAGUGCUGCGUUUCGAGCUCAGGGAUAUUUUCAAUUCUAGUCCCCAUACAUUUACGCGCAUUGCACAUUGAUCUUAUUUACGAUUAUUUCAUUUGUAAAUUAUCCUUCUUAUUUUGGAUUCAAUCUUAAUUUGGUCAUUCAUUUGUAUAAUCUACUAAUUUAAAAUACAUUUAAUAUUUUUAUAUGUGUUAAUCCAUUUUAAUGAUUCUGUUUGUUUUCAUUUGUACAAUUAUUUUGAGAUUUCUUUUAUCUUAUAAUUUUUACAUUUUGCACAAUAUUUUUUUUAAAAUAUUUUAUAGAUAUUAAUAUACACAUUAUUCUCAUAGAGAUUUCAAUAUAUAAUACCUAUUAUUUUGAGGUUCACAACAUUUUUGUAUAUGAGUUGAGCCAUCUUAAUAACUUUAUUUUGUUUUAUAAAAUCAUCAUUUUAAAAUUCUUUUUACAUUAAGCUAUUUUAAUACUUUUAUAUAACCUUUUGUUUAAAUGUUUUUAGGUUUUUCUAUUUAAAAUACUUCUUGCUUUAUGAUUCACCUAGUAUUUUUCUUUAUGUAUAUAUGAAACUAUUUUAGGAACUUCAUCUUUGUGUUUAUAAAAUUAUUAUUUUGGAAUGCUUCUUUAUAUUAUAUUAUUAUUAUGUCUUAUAUAGUAUCUCAUUUAAAUGUUUUUUUUAUGUAUAAUGGUACAUAUAUAAUUUAUAAAUUAACUUAAUUUUAUAUAUAUUAUUAAUCUUAUGCUAUUUUUACAAAUAAUUAUUCCUAGAUCUAUUUAUAUAUGUAUGUUUUGUGAAUCUAUUAUGUGUAUUAUAUCUUAUCAUGUAUUUUUAUUAUUCUUUCAUAUUUUAUAUAUUAUUUAAGUUAUCAUGUAUAUUGUCAAUUUUUUUUAAAAUGAAUUUAUGUUUAAAAUAUUUUGCAUAUAAUUUGAUUCAAACUUUUAUUAUAUAAUAUCUAUUUCAAUAAUUAUAUAUUCCUAGUUUUUAUGCAAUUUUGUCAACUUAUAUAUUAUAUAUCUUAUGAGUUCAUUAAUUCAUCAUUAUUUUGAAAAUGUCUUAUACCAUAUUGACUUCUAAUUCCAUUUUAUUUUGUACAUGCUUUGUGGAUUGUUUUAUAUUGUGCCAUAUUUAUUGUUGAUAUAUAUUAUUUAGUCAUUGUUUUAUUUAUUAUUCAUCCAUGAUUAAGAAUUUGGUUACAUUUUACUUAGAAUAGUUGUACUUAAUUGUUGGAUUUAUUAAUUGUGGAUUAUUGUACUAUAUGUGUGCAUAUUAUUUCAUGUUUAUUAAUCCUUUUCUAUACAAAUGUUUUGUUACAAUGCAUUAAGUAUUCCAUCUAUUUUAAAACAAAUAAAUGUGUUUUGAGCUAAUUUCCAAUUUUCCUUGUUAUUCAAAAAUUCUGAAAUAAGGCAAUAUCCAAUAUUUGGGAAUUCGGGAAAUCGUGCCCUACCGUGCUGGGUAUGAUUUUUCGGUGAACUAAAUAUUUGGAUAUCCUUUUAUAAUUUUAGCGUAUGAGUUUUUGAAAGUCAAAAAUCAACCGUAUUUUAGAAGGUAUAAAGGAUCGUGUCUAAUCGUGCUGGGUAUGAUGCUACAUAUCUUUGAAACGAGAGAAUUUUGACAGUUAACUUGAACUAUUCAAACAUUUUAAAAAGAUCCAUUCUUCGAAAGAUCCUUUUUAAAAUCUUUGAUAUAAAGAUAGCAUCGAAUCAAUUUGGUACCAAUUUUUGGGCAUAAUGAGGGUGCUAACCCUUCCUCAUGCGUAACUGACUUUCGAACCCAUUUUUUUAUUUUUUAUGUGAACCAAAAAUGGUUUUAAGUGGAACAAAACAUUUUAGUAGGUGACCCAAUCACACCUAAACAAAGAAAUUGGUGUCGACUCCACGUAUUGUUUAAAAGUUGAUUUCUGUUUUUUUUUCUUUCAAAUAAAAAAAUGGUUUCGACAUAUUCCAUGUCAACAAAGUUAACAAACGUUAACUUUUCCAUCCACUUUGGGGUGAUUUGACAAACAAUACAAGUUUAAGGCAUAAAAGAGGAAAAAAGAUUUAAAUUAAAGCCUAAAAUAAUUUUUUUUGUAAAAUUGGAGGGUCAAAAAAGUCAUUAUACCUUUUUAUUAUCCACAUAAGUAUUGGUACGUCCCUAGAAGUUUAAUAUUUACUUCUUUUUUAUUAACCGUAUGUUUAGUUAUUUGUUUUUAAAUAAAAACAAAAAAAAUUCUAAAAAAAGUUCUAAAUUUUUUUAAAAGUUUUCUAAAAAAAAGAAUUAAAAAAAUUUAACAGCUUGGAAAAAUUUAGAAGAAAGACAUUAGAAUAUAAAUAAAAAAAAUUAGGUUUUAAAUAAUUAUUUUUUAAAAUUUUUAUUUGCAUUAUUUUUUCUUAAAAUUUUCUAUUAUUUUUUAUUUUUAAUUGUUUUGCUAACGUGACAUAUAAGAUAAAAUAACGACACAUCAAUAAUUAUGCACAUGUAGAGUGGCAUGUUAACACAUGCCGUUGACUAUUAGUCAACUAACGGACACAUUAUCAACUCCGUCAGAAAAUGAUCAAUUUGAUAAAAAAAACUAUGAGGAUUAAAGUGCUCAAAAAUAAAAAAGAAUAAGGGCUAAUGAGUAACCAGGAAAAUAUUAGGGACUAUUUUAGCAAUAUACCUUCUAAAUUCAUGGAGGAAAAAUUUUACUGUAAUUUUAAUUUUUUAUCAAAGUUAUGCAAUCAUAUUUGGUUCUUGAUGGUACUAUUUUUUUUUUUAGUUUUGGAUCUGUAAUUUGAUUGGUUCUUUUCCUUCUUCUUCUUUCUUUUUAAUUCAAGCCAUUUGAUUUCGUUUUCCAGAGUAUUUGAUCGAUAAAAGUAUCACAUGUACUAUAUUUUGGAUUACAUUUUUGUUUUUCUAUUGAAAAAAUAGACGAGUUAACUCCUAUAUGUUAGAUGAGUUAAAAAAUAGCCCCUCCGUUAAAAUUUAGUUUUAUAUAUAAGAUAUAAUAAUAAAUUUAGCCCUCAACCUUUAUACAUUUGCUCAAUUUGACCCCUACUCUUUUAUUGAAGUAAAUUAAAAAACUUCGAAACUUAAUAAGACUAAAAAGUUAAAAAGGCUGUAGUAACAAAUUAAAAAAAAAUCAAUUAAGCCAUUUUAAAAUUUUAAAAUUAUUUAAAAAAUUCAUAAAAAAUUAUAAAUAAAAUGUUAUAAAAGUUUUAAAAUUAUAAAAUAUUUAUUAAAAAUGAGAAUACCAAUCCAUUAAAUCUAAUAGUUAUAAAAUUUUUAAAAAAUACCCCAACUCUUUUAUUGAGCCAAUAUGGUUAUUUAUUAAAAAAAUUAUAAAUUUAUAAAUUUUUUAAUAAUUUUUAAAUUUUAAAAGGGCUUAAUUGAUUUUUAAAUUUGUUUACUAAGGCAUUUUGACCCUUUAGCUUUAUUAGUUUUAAAAUUUUCUAAUUUACUUCCAAUAAAAGAGUAGGGUCAAAUUAAAUAAAUGUGUAAAGAUUAAGAGCUAAAUUUAUUUAACGAUGUAGUACAAGCCAAUAAUCUAGAAUGAUCCUUUCUUGGUCUGCCUCGUCUCUUUUCCAUUGCCUCAUCUUCUUUUUUUCUCCUUAAUCUCACAAUUUCGUCAUCAUCAAAAUCGUAGAUGCUUCUUACUUUUCUGUUAUUGCGCACGAUUCGCUCCAAAUUUCCAGAAUCGCUUUUGAUACAUAUUCCCGGUUAAACAAUGCAGUUCGUCCCAUCUGUGUUCUCACUUCUUCAACCAUCACGUAAUAUCUCUCAUUGACCUCAUUAAUUAGGAUCAUAGCCAUAUCCUUUUCUAGCCCAAAAUCAACGAGGCUAUCGUCCCCGAAGAAGUAUUCGAGGUGGUUGCCCUAAGGGUCUAGUUCACAGAACCCAAUUGGUGUCAAAUACCCCAACAAGUGACCCAUACUCACGUCACUCCUCUAUCUCCGUCUUCCUCUCAUUUUCUUAACCAUGUCAUUUUGAUGUAUUGUUUGGAUGUGUUUUGCCUUAUGCUGAUCUAUUUUGUUCUGUUCUUGUAAUGUUAAUACUUGGAUUCUAAGAUUUUAAGCACAACGUAAAUAUUGUGACUAGUAAUUUGAGUAAGGAAUACAUACAACAAACGGCACAGCCAAAAAAUGAAAGACUAGACCCCAACAUAAAACUGUGAUUGCUUCAAUGGUCAAUCCAUCUAGCAAUAGCCAAGCACACAAUAAUUAAGUUUUUAAUUUAGCUUAGAUUCUAAAAAAUAAUAUAUAUAUAUAUAAAUUUAAAAAAUAUUAAAAUGAUAUAUAAAAACUCUAAAAAAAUUAUAAAAUUAUAUUCUACACUUGUCGAGACUACCAAAAAUAAAUUCCUACUCAAAAGUAAUUUUGCAAAUAGCAGUGAGUAAGGUCAAAUCCACAUAUACCAGUGAUUCUAUUUCUUCAAUAAAAAUAAACAAAUUAAAGAUGAUGGGGGAUAUUUUUAUAAAACUAAAAUUAAAAUUCAAACUUAGAAAAACAAUAAUCAAAAGUUGAGAGAAAAUCAAUAAGGUGAAACUUUCACCAAAGGUAAAAUUACCGUUCGAUUCAUGAGUUUAAUCAUUACGAAAAGAUGAUUUUCAGUGUGCUUUAAUAAAUUGAUUAUAGUUCUCGGUGAUCAUCUAGCAACCAAUCUCUUCUUACUUUCUCGAUAAAUGAGACAAAUGCUAUUAAUUAAUUCUCUUAUUGAUAAACAAUCAUAUAAUGACCACUUUGGAUUUAAUCUAUCAAUAACAUUGAGAAUGAAAGAGCCUUAAUUUUAACCAACAAAUUUAAAUAUACAAUCAGAGUUUAUUUAAGUUGGACCGUAUGCCCGCACAACAUAGAAUGCAUAUCUUUAUCGUACCCCCCUAUGUUGCUUAUCACUAGUAUACAAUUACUGAUUUGACACUUUUAAUGGACAAGACAAAUAUUCUAAGCAAUUGAAUAUGGGUUAUAUAUUCAACAAAUAUAAAUAUUUGCAAUUAAAUCAGAAGAUAUAUAAAUAUCUGAAGAACAAAGAAAGAUCAAGAACAUUUAUAUGUGACAAAAUCUUCAAGUCAAACUUCGAAGUUCCUUCAACUAGAAAAAAAAUUUAGCAAUUCAAGGAGAAAAUAGAACAAAAAAAUAAAAAUAAUACUAAGGGGUGAUUAUGUCUAGGUAUAUCCCUAUAUAACUUAAUAAUAUCAAUUUAUAGAGCAAAAAUCACAUAAUGAAAAAAAAAGUGUCAUUAAUUAAAGAAAAUUUCUAGGUUUCUCGGUAAUUUUCACGUCAAAAUUUGAAGCUAAUGUCAGACACAUUCCCAAUAUUUUUUGAGCUUGAGUUGUCAAAUAACUUUUGUUAGAUAUUUUGAUUCCUUUUGAAUCGGUUUAUUAUGAGCCAAAGUAGAAUUUUGUAGCCCAAGUUAUGACAAAAAAAAUACUAAACCUUGUAAAAAAAUAAACUAAACUCCUUUUUCUUCAAUUAUUCCCUAAAUUAUAAUAAGUAAAAUAUAAUUCUUAAUAAUAUAAUUAAUUAUUUAAAUAGAAUAAUUGAAUAAAAUAAAUAUAAAAAAAUUAGAAAAUUAAAAAAUUACAUGCUUAUCAAAUUUCUCUACACUUUAACUAUGCUUGUCCUCAAGUAUAUGCAUAAACAACUUAAAGAAAUACUUAACUCAAAUCAAUAAUUAAAAAUAUCGUUAUAUUUUAAUGGAACAAGAAAAUAUGCUUUUAUGAAUACAAUCCAAAUCGAAAUUUUAUAUGAUAAUAAAAAUUAUAAGAGCAACAAUAAUAUAUACAAUAACCCAAGUAACACUUAAAAUAACAUUAGGAUCAAGCAUAGAGUUUCUACAAUGUAAAAUAUGCUGCCAAAACACAAAUCUAACCAAAGAAAAAGACAUGAAUAUGUUAACUGCAAACAAAAUACUAAUAAUAUUAAACAGGCAAAAUAUAAUUUGAAAAAAGUGACUAAACACCCAAAUUAGAUUAUGUCACAUUUUCAAAAUUAAACUAUUUGCUCACUUAAAAUAUGUUAUAAGUUUCUGUACCUUAAUUUAUUUUUUUAUAUUUUAAAAUAUAAAUCUAAUUGUUAUUAUUGUUAAAAUAUUUUUGUUAAAUUCACCGGUACGACACUUUCAAUUUCUUUUUAAAGAAAAAUUCACUUAGAAGUCGUGUAACAAAAAAAAUUAACAUUGUAAUGAACUUGAAUUUAAUAGAAUAAUUUUAACGACAUUAAUAAUUGGACUUGUAUUUUUAAAUCCUAAAAAUAGAGAGGUUAAAUUUCUUAAAAUAAAAAUAGAAAGAUUAAUUUCCAAAUGUUCGAAGAGUAAUGGACUUGGAACAUAUUUUAACCUAUUUAUUCACGUGGCUAAUUUAAAAAUGCUUUCAAUGCAUGUAAUAUAAGCCACAUGAGCAAACUUUUUUAUUUUAAAAAUGUCACGUGAUCUAAUUUAAUUGAAGUCCUUUGAGAAUGUUAUCAAUUAGACUUCAAUUAUUAAAUCAAAAAAAUAGUGUUAAAAAGAAAAGGACUAAAUGAAACGUACAAGGAUCGGAAGCAAAUUAGACCAAUUACCCAAAUUAUUUUUUAUCUGAUCUAAGAUAGCCUUCUCCAGAUUCGGCUGGCCACUUGGCUUGUAAGACCCCUUGUCAGUUACCGCUCUCCUUAGAUCCCUCUCUUUUCGUUAUUCUUCCUUUUUUCUUAAUUUUAGUUUGAAUUUUCGUCAGCUUCGUCCGUCUCUGGGAUUCAACAUAUUUUCUUCAUAAUCAUUUGAAUAUCCUCACUCAAUUCUCAUUCUGAGUUUCUUUCGUUAGGUCAUUCUUAUUAUCCGAGUGAGAAAAAUAGAUGAGAGACCGCAGUCAAUUCUCUAUUUCGAUUCUAUAUCUGUAGGGAAGUGUGAGAUGGAGGGGUCACCUCCACCAUGAAUGCAGAGAGACGAUGGAUAUGUUGGAACAAUGGCAGCAACAAUGCAAUCAAAACAAGCUUAAGAAAUCAAAACAAAAAGCAAAAGAAACUAAGAGAACUUGAGCUCAAAGACUGACUAAAAAUUCCACUUUUUCAUUGCAUAAAAUGGUAACUUAUAUGAAUUACAAAGUCAAUGGACAUUUACCUAAUAACUUAACUACUCCCACUAAUACUUAACAAAAACAAAUUUAAACCACAUACAAAAGUAAGCUGAUGUAAUAACCUAAAUUUACCCGAGCCCAUAAAAUAAAUAAAUAAAAAAACAACGAAAACAAAUUAUAAAAAAAAAUCAAAUAAAGUCCAUUUUCAGUCCAUUUACAAAGCCCAAAGUUCGGUUACCUUUGUAGCCCAAAAGCCCUAUACCAGGUUACACCCAAGACCUGAUUAGCCUAAACCUUUAGCCCAAAAAGUCAUUUAACCCAAUACCCAUUACACCCUUAACCCAAAAAAUGAACGGGGCCCAAGAGGCCCAAAGUGUUAACAGAAUACGGAAAGGCUUAGGGUUUCAGAAACCCUAGGCGCCGCAAACACUCAACAGACGCGCCCGUUCGUCUCUCAGUGACCCACCAUUAGCGCCGUAAUUCCAGGCACCACAUCACUCCAAAAUUGACGCCUGAAUCAACGCCGGUGUGCCGUCGUCAGUGCUCGUUCAUUACUGGCCGCCUUGCUAGUACCUGCAAAAGAAGAAGAAACCACAGUAACCAAAAAAACAAACAGGGAAAGAAAUCAAAGGAUUCUUUCUUAAAAUGUAACAGAGGGCUAUAAAAACCCCUUUUUUGAUCUUUUGUAAUACACAGUUUUUUUGGCUACACACAGAUUCAAUAAAAAGUCGUUUUUACACACAUAUACAGAAGAGAGAACCAUAGUCGAUUGAGGAACACAGAGGUGAAUAUUUUUUCUCUAAACAUAUAUAGAUAUUGUAACAGUAAAAAUAAAAAAAGAAAGGAAGGACGUACCUUUAAUCUGCGUUAAAAAGCAGGUUUUUUUUAGCCUCUGGUCACCGUACAUGGCGGGGUUGGCGACGGCGCUUGGGCGCGUGAGUCCGAUGAAUGGGGCCUGGCUCGACGAAGACCGGAGCCCGGAGGACUGCUCUCUUGUAACACCCCAAACCCAGCCCAGAAGUUAUGGCCGGAUCCGGCAUGCCACAUUAAAAACGUUAAAAAAAAUUUCAUUCUAAGUCCAGAAAAUCGUACUUGAUGUUCAAAAGAUUAAUUCAUUAAGGGUUAAAGUGAAUGGAAGCUGUGCACCAGGUAGGAAACCGAAAAAGAGGUGGUGAGUCCAUCGGACUGCUUAAGUACCAAGCUCCCUUCGGAUCCAAUCCUAGACAUGCAUACCGCCAUUGCCACACCUUAACGUCAUGGAUAUUUCUAGGAAACCGAUUUGAUUAAGUCAUUUUUAAGAAAAGUGAUUAAUUUUGGAAAAUACUUUCAUUGCGGAAGCUUUGCUUGUUGUCGUGUUAUUUUGAAAUCAAUUGUUGUUUUUGAAAACGCGCCCUAAAGCUAUCCAAAUUCAAUAGUUAAAAUAAGUAAUACCUAUCUUAGUAAUACAUAUUAAAACCAUCAAAAAUAAUUAAGCGGCCUUAUUACAGUUAAAAACCUAAAACUUCAAACGUAAAUAAAAGGAUGUCCAGUUCACCAGAAGAAAAUCAAACUUUCAGAACGGGUGGCCACUCCGAAUUCCCUCACAACUCCAAGCCCACUAUGGUUGGGGAUUUCCUGCGUGGAUGAAAAUAAAAAGGGUGAGUUUGGGGAAACUCAGUGUGUAAGGAAAACCCAUUCAAAGCCCAAGUCAGCUCAAGCCCAUUGGGCCUAAGCCCAUUCAGGUAACAGUGGUACUGGGCCAGAGCCCUUUUCAGAUUACAAUAAACUGGGCCUUAGCCCCUUAUUCAGAUAACAGUAUGGCCCAUAGGCCCAUUUGGAAAUACAUGCAACAUCAAUAAACAUAUGCAAGCCCAUUUGGGGAGACUACUCAACCCACCAACCACUAUACUCCACCCGUACCAGCCAUACACUCCAUGUGGGGAAUAGCUCAACCCACCCAGCCUAACACUCCACAGUUGCAGCCUUGCUGCUCAGUUAACAGUAAAUUGAGGCAAAGCCUCCAGUAUGUGGACAAGCCACUUUCAGUACUUCCUCCGUCAAUAUCCCAAUCCCAUGCAUCAGAUAAUAACAACAUGGCAUGCAGUAAAUAACAACAGUCAAACAUGCAUUUAGGUCAAUUUAACCCUAGGGGUAUUUCGGUAAUUUAUCUCUUAGGGGUAAAACUGUAAAUUUUCCACUUUUAAAGGUAUUUCAGUAAUUUAUCUAUUUUAGGGUUUUUCAUGCAUAUUCCUACUUUUCACGUACUAACAGAAUCACGUACCGAGGGUUCUUACCGAAUUGGGCCUGUUGGCCCAUCAUUCCAAUUUUGGCCCAUUAAGCCCAAAAAUAUCGAGGGCACAGAAAUCAUGCACUUUGCAGUCCAAAUUUUGCAGCUUACCAAAAACAUUAAUCGAUUUACCUCACGAGCAUUCGCACACUCGCAAAUCUAAAAAAAUACCGAUUUUCGGUAUUUCAGCUUUUCGACUUUUGCCGAUCCAGACUAAGAAAGAGGGUGUUAGUUACACACCUGUUUGCGACGAUAUGCUGACGAGAUCCACACACGAACUGCCUACAAUUGGAUUACUAACAAGUUAAUCUAACUAUUCAAAUACAAACUACGUAUUAACCCCUUACAAUAUUCGGCCAACCACACCUACAGAUCAUAGUAAGCUUAUAAGAAAACAAUAAGCAACUCAUUAACAAAUUUUUGUCAAUGUUUACCACAUAAUCAUAAUUUCACUGCAAGCUGUCUUCCUGAGCAACAGUCACUAAAUCAUUUAUAACUGGAGCUACGAAACUCCAAAUCAAGUUCCGUUAAUUUUCCUUGAAGAUAGACUCAUAUAUAUUCUAUCCAUAAAAUUUUCAGAAUUUUUGGUUUAGCCAAUCAAUACCAGAUUUUUCUCAAAGUUUCCCAUGUUUCACUGUUUGACUAAUCUGACCACUCUUCAUUACGAAUCAAAUUUCUCAUUGUACAGAAUUAAAAAUAUGUUCUAGUUUAUUUCAUUAGAAACUAUACUUAAUAAGCUUUAAUUACAUAAUUUAUUCAGCUUCUAAUUCAUCUCCCACAAUUUAUGGUGAUUUUCCAAAGUCACGUUACUGCUGCUGUCCCAAGCAAAUUUAUUACCAAAUCACUCUUUCACACAUACCUUGCAUGCAUGUUAUUUAAACAUGUAUAUCACCAAUCAAUCAUCACAUAUCUAUGAUUUUACUUAAGUAUAAUCUCCAUUUCAUCAUUUUAAAGCACAACAUGUUAGCUGAUUUUUCCCUUUAACAUCUAAGGCACAUGCAUGCUCAUUUGUUUGGCUUAACUUCACCUAUCUUCCAUUUUUCAUCAAAAGAACAUGAAACAACAACAAUUUCCUUCAUUUUAAUUCAUGACUAAAUGCUCACAACACAACUAAAAAUCAAAAUAUACUUCAAGAGUUAAGGUAGAAUCAAGAAGAACUCAUGAACCUCAAAAUAGAAGCAAGGUACCAAGAACUUACCUUUAAUUUUCCUCUUCCUAAUGACCGAAUACUCAAGAGCUUUCUCCUCUCCUUUCUCUUCUCUAACUUUCAGCUAUGAUGAACAAAGAUGGACAAAACUUUGUUCUUUUCACCCCUUUUUCUUUUAAUAAAACUUCAUAUUUCAUCCAUUUAAUUCUUUAAUACAAAAGACAUGAAAUUCUUAUCAUGAGACAUUUACCUAACCCAUUAUCAUGAAACAUUUACCUAACCCAUUAUCAUGGAACAUUUACCUAACCUAUUAUCAAUUUGUAUCAAUUUGUACCAUAAAUUAUGGAUAUCAAGUGUACAUUUUGUCUACAACAACAUGAUGGCUGGCCACUUCAUGUAAAAUUGGAGGUUUGUCAUGCAAAUCCUCCUAUUUUGCACUCCUAUUUAUUUGGUCACUUCAAUUUAGCCUAUAGCAUUUUCAAACAUUUUCACAUAGGUUCUAUUUCAUAAUUUCACCCCCUUUUUGUUAUGGAACAAAAAUUAACUAAAAUUAUCGGGUUCUAUCUUAAGUUUGGGCUUUCUAGAGGCCUACUAACAUAAUUAAACCUAUGCCAACAUUCACAGGAUUCCUGAAAAUUGGGGCGUUACAACUCUACCCUCCUUAAAGAAAUUUCGUCCUCGAAAUUUACUUAAUCCAAACAGAUGAGGGUAUUGCUGUUGCAUCGUCUCUUCUGGCUCCCAAACUCAGAAGUUUCCCCUUCCUUAACUUGUUGAAAACGAGCAACCAAAGACUCAUCGUUCAACUAUUUUUCCUUAAUCUGAUCCACCCAGGUUGGCCUCACUUGCAACUCAGCCAACAGACUUCUAUCAUCAUACAGACUCAGACGAGCAAACAUUGCUCUCAGAUCAGAUACAGCUCUACAACUUAGAGCAUCGGCUACUACAUUAGCCUUGCUUGGGUGAUACUCGAUUGAACAAGCAUAAUCCUUAAGCAACUCAAUCCAUCUCCUUUGCCUAAGGUUCAGCUCCUUCUGAGUCAACAAAUACUUAAGACUCUUAUGGUCAGUGUAUAUAAUACACCUUUCUCCGUACAAGUAAUGUCUCCAAAUCUUAAGUGCAAAUAUCACUGCUGCCAACUCUAAAUCAUGAGUCAAAUAGUUUCCCUCAUGAGGCUUAAGCUAUCGUGAUGCAUAUGCAACCACCUUACCCUUUUGCAUUAACACGCAGCCCAAACCCACGUGUGAUGCAUCACUGUACACAGUAAAAUCAUUCCCAGACUCCGGUUGAAUUAACACAGGUGCUUCAGUCUUUCUUCAACUUCUCAAAAGCUUCCUGCUGCUUCUCAGUCCAUACAAACGGUACUCUUUUCCUUAUGCGUUUUGUCAGGGGUGCUGCCAUCGCAACCUUCUACAAACUUUCUGUAGCAUCCUGCCAGUCCUACGAAACUCCGUAUUUUCGACACUGAACUAGGCGGCUUCCACUCCAAAAUCGCUUCAAUUUUUCGAGGGUCCACCUUAAUCCCCUCAGCAGAGACCACAUGCCCUAAGAAGGUUACCUCCCUCAACCAAAAUUCACACUUGCUAAACUUCGCAAAGAGUUUCUUCUCCCCUAACACUUGCAGCAAUAUACGGAGAUACUCAUCAUGUUUCGCUUCAGUUUCAGAAUAUACCAGGAUAUCGUUAAUAAAGACAACUACGAACUGAUCUAAAAAUGGUUGGAACACGCGAUUCAUCAAAUCCAUAAACGCUACAGGAGCGUUCGUCAGUCCAAAUGGCAUAACCAGAAACUCGUAAUGACCAUACCGAGUCCUGAAUAUUGUCUUAUGGAUAUCCACUUCCUUUACCCUUAACUGAUGGUAUCCAGAUCGAAGGUCAAUCUUGGAAAAUACCGAAGCUCCUCUAAGUUGGUCAAAUAAAUCAUCAAUCCUUGGUAGUGGAUACUUAUUUUUAAUCCUCAGUUUGUUCAACUGGCGAUAAUCAAUGCACAUCUGCAUCGUACCAUCCUUCUUUUUCACGAAUAGCACUGGUGCUCCCCAUGGAGACACGCUUGGCCUAAUGAAGCCCUUAUCCAACAACUCUUGAAUUUGUGCCUUUAGCUCCACCAACUCCUUCGGUGCCAUUCUAUACGGUGCGAUAGACACAGGUGCCGUUCCAAGCAAUAAGUCGAUUCUAAACUCCACUUCUCGGUUCGGAGGCAAUCCUAGAAGCUCUUCCAGAAAAAUAUCUUGUAACUCCUUUACAGUCCUAACCUUAUCCACUGUCAGUCCCUCCUCUUCCAACUGACUUACAAAUGCCAAUUAGGCCUCACAACCUUUCCGAAUCCACUUUUCGGCUCUUAAUGCCGACACCAUAUUGGACAAAUAAUCCCUUCUCUCACCUAUCACCAUAACCUCCUCAUCCCUUGUAGUUCUUAACACCAUUCAUUUAGCAGCACAAUCUAGAGUCGCCUUAUGCUUAACAAGCCAAUCCAUUCCCAGAAUGAGGUCAAACUCUCCGAAUGGUAACUCCAUCAGAUCUCCAGGAAAAAAAAAACCUUGCCUUGAGUUUCUAAGGGUACAUUCCUAUACAGUUUGUCUACCCUAAUCGAGUGACCCAAGGGACUUAGUACAGAUACCCCACUCACAAUCUCCUCAGAGCAGUCCAAGUCAUCCAUAAUCCAUUCUGUGGCCUCCAACCAAUAUUCCGCCACAUUCGGGGCUAUACCAGACACGCCCUUAAAGAUCUCCGUUCCGUUAGUCCCGAAGUCAUUCAGAAAUAGAUCCCUGAAUUUCGUUGUCCGAACUUGCUCUGGAAACCCUUUCCAGAACACGAAGCAUUGCCUGUGACAGGGCAUCAUCCUCGGCACCGCGGUCAUGAGACUCUACCUCUGUUACCGGUGGUACCGGUGCAUCCACCGCUGGCAUAUGUCUCGAAGACGAAGAUCUCGCUCGAGCACUUCCUCGGCUCCGUCCACGGCCUCUUAUACUCAUAUCGUAUUAUCUUGAUUACAAAUUUUUAUGCAUCAAUUCAAUAUUCCAGUGUUUAUUACAGAUGUUUUAUGAAUCAGACAGUAAUUAAAAGUUUGUUUUCGCAGAAUCAAAGUCUAGCUACAGUUUUAGUCUCUUAUCAGAUUUUCCUAUGGUUUCAGAAUCAUCUUAUCUAGAGUAUCCUAGUAGGGUUUCAGUACAGACAGAUAAUUCAGAAAAAUAUUCAGAAGAGUUCAGAGUAAUAGUUACAGGCUUGAGCCGGAGAUUCGGAAUGCCACCUUCUAAAGAUCUAAAUUUUGAAAACCGCGUUUUUCGCAAUCUUUAUAAAAUUUUUAUUUUCGAAGAUCUAAAUUUUGUAAACCCAUUCCACAGCCGAGUUGUUGUAACCUAGGCUCUGAUACCACUAAAUGUAGUACCCCAAACCCGGCCCAGAAGUUAUGGCCGAAUCCGGCAUGCCACAUCAAAAACGUUAAAAAAAUUUUCCAUUCUAAGUCCAGAAAAUCGUACUUGAUGUUCAAAAGAUUAAUUCAUUAAGGGUUAAAGUGAAUGGAAGCUGUGCACCAGGUAGGAAACCGAAAAAGAGGUGGUGAGUCCAUCGGACUGCUUAAUUACCAAGCUCCCUUCGGAUCCAAUCCUAGACAUGCAUACCGCCAUUGCCACACCUUAACGUCAUGGAUAUUUCUAGGAAACCGAUUUGAUUAAGUCAUUUUUAAGAAAAGUGAUUAAUUUUGGAAAAUACUUUCAUUGCGGAAGCUUUGCUUGUUGUCGUGUUAUUUUGAAAUCAAUUGUUGUUUUUGAAAAUGCGCCCUAAAGCUAUCCAAAUUCAACAGUUAAAAUAAGUAAUACCUAUCUUAGUAAUACAUAUUAAAACCAUCAAAAAUAAUUAAGCGGCCUUAUUACAGUUAAAAACCCAAAACUUCAAACGUAAAUAAAAGGAUGUCCAGUUCACCAGAAGAAAAUCAAACUUUCAGAACGGGUGGCCACUCCGAAUUCCCUCACAACUCCAAGCCCACUAUGGUUGGGGAUUUCCUGCGUGGAUGAAAAUAAAAAGGGUGAGUUUGGGGAAACUCAGUGUGUAAGGAAAACCCAUUCAAAGCCCAAGUCAGCUCAAGCCCAUUGGGCCUAAGCCCAUUCAGGUAACAGUGGUACUGGGCCAGAGCCCUUUUCAGAUUACAAUAAACUGGGCCUUAGCCCCUUAUUCAGAUAACAGUAUGGCCCAUAGGCCCAUUUGGAAAUACAUGCAACAUCAAUAAACAUAUGCAAGCCCAUUUGGGGAGACUACUCAACCCACCAACCACUAUACUCCACCCGUACCAGCCAUACACUCCAUGUGGGGAAUAGCUCAACCCACCCAGCCUAACACUCCACAGUUGCAGCCUUGCUGCUCAGUUAACAGUAAAUUGAGGCAAAGCCUCUAGUAUGUGGACAAGCCACUUUCAGUACUUCCUCCGUCAAUAUCCCAAUCCCAUGCAUCAGAUAAUAACAACAUGGCAUGCAGUAAAUAACAACAGUCAAACAUGCAUUUAGGUCAAUUUAACCCUAGGGGUAUUUCGGUAAUUUAUCUCCUAGGGGUAAAACUGUAAAUUUUCCACUUUUAAAGGUAUUUCAGCAAUUUAUCUAUUUUAGGGUUUUUCAUGCAUAUUCCUACUUUUUACGUACUAACAGAAUCACGUACCGAGGGUUCUUACCGAAUUGGGCCUGUUGGCCCAUCAUUCCAAUUUUGGCCCAUUAUGCCCAAAAAUAUCGAGGGCACAGAAAUCAUGCACUUUGUAGUCCAAAUUUUGCAGCUUACCAAAAACAUUAAUCGAUUUACCUCACGAGCAUUCGCACACUCGCAAAUCUAAAAAAACACCGGUUUUUGGCAUUUCGGCUUUUCGACUUUUGCCGAUCCAGACUAAGAAAGAGGGUGUUAGUUACACACCUGUUUGCGACGAUAUGCUGACGAGAUCCACACACGAACUGCCUACAAUUGGAUUACUAACACGUUAAUCUAACUAUUCAAAUACAAACUACGUAUUAACCCCUUACAAUAUUCGGCCAACCACACCUACAGAUCAUAGUAAGCUUAUAAGAAAACAAUAAGCAACUCAUUAACAAAUUUUUGUCAAUGUUUACCACAUAAUCAUAAUUUCACUGCAAGCUAUCUUCCUGAGCAACAGUCACUAAAUCAUUUAUAACUGGAGCUACGAAACUCCUAAUUAAGUUCCAUUAAUUUUCCUUGAAAAUAGACUCAUAUAUAUUCUAUCCAUUAAAGUUUCAGAAUUUUUGGUUUAGCCAAUCAAUACCAGAUUUUUCUCAAAGUUUCCCAUGUUUCACUGUUUGACUAAUCUGACCACUCUUCAUUACGAAUCAAAUUUCUCAUUGUACAGAAUUCAAAAUAUGUUAUAUUUUAUUUCAUUAGAAACUAGACUUAAUAAUAUUUAAUUACAUAAUUUAUUCAGCUUCUAAUUCAUCUCCCACAAUUUAUGGUGAUUUUCCAAAGUCACGUUACUGUUGCUGUCCCAAGCAGAUUUAUUACCAAAUCACUCUUUCACACAUACCUUGCAUGCAUGUUAUUUAAACAUGUAUAUCACCAAUCAAUCAUCACAUAUCUAUGAUUUUACUUAAGUAUAAUCUCCAUUUCAUCAUUUUUAAGCACAACAUGUUAGCUGAUUUUUCCCUUUAACAUCUAAGGCACAUGCAUGCUCAUUUGUUUGGCUCAACUUCACCUAUCUUCCAUUUUUCAUCAAAAGAACAUGAAACAACAACCAUUUCCUUCAUUUUAAUUCAUGACUAAAUGCUCACAACACAACUAAAAAUCAAAAUAUACUUCAAGAGUUAAGGUAGAAUCAAGAAGAACUCAUGAACCUCAAAAUAGAAGCAAGGUACCAAGAACUUACCUUUAAUUUUCCUCCUCCUAAUGACCGAAUACUCAAGAGCUUUCUCCUCUCCUUUCUCUUCUCUAACUUUCAGCUAUGAUGAACAAAGAUGGACAAAACUUUGUUCUUUUCAUCCCUUUUUCUUUUAAUAAAACUUCAUAUUUCAUCCAUUUAAUUCUUUAAUACAAAAGACAUGAAAUUCUUAUCAUGAAACAUUUACCUAACCUAUUAUCAUGGAACAUUUACCUAACCUAUUAUCAAUUUGUAUCAAUUUGUACCAUAAAUUAUGGAUAUCAAGUGUACAUUUUGUCUACAACAACAUGAUGGCUGGCCACUUCAUGUAAAAUUGGAGGUUUGCCAUGCAAAUCCUCCUAUUUUGCACUCCUAUUUAUUUGGUCACUUCAAUUUAACCUAUAGCAUUUUCAAACAUUUUCACAUAGUUUCUAUUUCAUAAUUUCACCCCCUUUUUGUUAUGGAACAAAAAUUAACUAAAAUUGUCGAGUUUUAUCUUAAGUUUGGGCUUUCUAGAGGCCCACUAACAUAAUUAAACCUAUGCCAACAUUCACAGGAUUCCCGAAAAUUGGGGCGUUACAUCUCUACUCUCUUUCAGAGAGUUUUUCAAAGUUUGUUUUUAAAUAGUUUCUAAAAUGAAUUUUUGGGCCGAAAAUUGACUUAAAUAGUGUAAUUAGAACGGUGUCGUUUUACUUAAUCUAAUAAGUACCGAAACGGCACCGUUUAAGCCAAGAUCCGCGUGUUGACCCGAAACCCGGAUGAGAUCUGCGUGUUUUUAUUAAAUGGGCAAAUUGCUCAAUCGGUCCUUCCGCAUUUUUAAUCUUUAUAAUUUUAUUUUAUUUUAUUUUAUUUUAAUUCUGCCCUAAUCUUUUAUAUUUGUUUCAAUUUAAUCCUAACGGCCAUUAAAAUCCAUUCUGAAGAACGACGUCGUUUUGGGAUUAGGGCAAAUUGCCCAGUGAGUCCCUUGCAGUUUUAAACGCGUUCCAAUUAGGCCCAAACUUUUUUGUUAUUUUAAAAUCAGCCCUAGAACUUUAGUUUUAUUUAAUUUUAAUCCUUUUAAAUAUUGUUUUGCAUAAUUUAUUUAUUAAAUGCUUUAUAUAUUAUUUAUUUUUAUAAAUAUUAGUUAUAUAAAAUAUAUAUUAUUUUUAUUUAUAUAUAUUAUCCAUUAUAUUAUUUUUAUUAUUAUACAUUUUAUUUAUAAAUUAUAUUAUACAUUAUAUUUUACUAUAUAUUAUGCCUUACAUUUUUUUUCUUUUUCAAUUUAUAUUUAUUUAUAAAAUUAUUAUUCAUUAAUUGUGUAAAUUUUAAAUUUUUAAAAAUUAUUAUUAAAUAAUAAUAUAUAUGUUAUCCUUAUUUAUAUGAUAGUAUUUAUAUUUCAUUAUAUUUUAUUUAUAUAUUUUUUUACAUAUCAUAUUUUAUUAUAUAUUAUAUUAUAUACAUUUUAUUAUAUAUAUAUUCUUUUAUAUUACUUAUCAUAUAGUUUAUAUUAUUAUAUACUUUGUUUAUAAAUUUUAUUAUAUGCUAUAUAUUUUACCAAAUAUUAUUCCUUACAUUACUUUUAUUUUAUUAUAAAAUAUACAUUAUUUUAUUACUCAUUAACUACAUAUGUUUUUUUAUAUAUUAAAUAAAUAUGUGUAAUAUUACUAUUUAGCACAUUAUUUUUUAAAUAUAUACUAAGUUAUUAUAUUCUAUAACAUGAUUUAUAUAUUAAUCAAAUUUUUUUAAAAAAAGCGGUUCUCCAUUAUCAUUCUUAUAUUAUUUUAAAUAUUUUUAAAUAUCUCUAUUUUUAUUUCAUUUGAUUUACAUUUUAUAUGUUCAUAAUUUGUUUAUUUUUGUUUUCUUUUAUUUUGAUAUUGUUUUAGUAGGUUAAAUCUUCAUAGAUUAUUUGUUAUUUGAUGUUAUGGUUUUUAUAUAUUCGCGUGGAAUUAAUUAUUUAUGUUAAUUUAAGUUACAUUUGCAUAAAAUAUUAUCAUAUAUAUUGCAAUUUAUAUUUGUUGUAUUUAUUAUGCUCUACGUUGUAUUUUACAUGUAACGAUAAUGCAUGUACAUUUAUGUUAUUUAUGAUCACAUAUACAUAAGAUGGUAACGUAUAUUGUGUAAUUUAUGCCAUUAUUCAUUAUUUUUUUUAUUAUAUUUGCAUGGAAUGUUAAAGAAGAUAUUAUGUAGGUUAAUUUAUUUUAAUAUUAGUCCUUUGUAAUAUGACAAAUGCAUCAUCACUUUAAAGAACUUUUAUAUUUCAUUCGAUCCAAAAAAAUUUUAAAAAUAAGGUAAUGUUUUUGGUAUUUAGGAAUUCUGGAGGUAGUGCCCUAACAUGCUGGGUUGCGAUUUCCCGUUUGUCUAAAUACCUAAAAUAUCCUUCUAAAUAAGUUUUGAAAAUUACAAGAUGAUUUUAGUUUCAAAAGUUUAAAAAUAUCGUGUCCAAUCAUGCUAGAUAUGAUGUUUAUAUUCUUUCGAAGCCAAAGAAUCUAGAUUCUUUUUAACUCAAAUUAUUACGGUCUUAAAGAGAUUUUAUUUCUAAAUUCUUUCAAACAUUUGACAUUAAGACAAAAUUAUUCAAUUUGGUACCAAUUUUGGGCGUUAUGAGGGUGCUAAUCCUUCCUCGUGCGUAACUGACUCCCGAACCUAUUUUCUCGUGAUUUCGUAGACCAAAACGUUUUAUAAAGUGAUCUAAUCACACUUAAACUGAUUGAUGGCGACUCCCAUUCGUUUUCAUUUUUAAAAAAAAAAUCAGACCCCGUUUUCAAAAUACCCUCCCCUUUUAAAACGAUUUCGACAGCUGAUAUGAUCAGCCAUUACAUCCAUUACAUCAAAAAAAUCUUACUAACUUUGAUUACAAGUUACAAACCAACUAAAACAAGUUACAUUUGAACAGAAGAAACAAAAUGCUAAGGCUGCUUCUGGUUUGGCUUCAAUGCUGUCAAUUUUCAUGAGCUGCUGCUGGUCCAAUGUUUCAUUGCAGGCCAAUGCUUAACACUCCUCCUUGGACUGUAUGCAGUAUACACCAAUCUUGCUUCUUAAAGCCUCGAACCUUGUUGCACCAAGUGGCUUACUCAAAAUAUCAGCCAAUUGGACUUGUGAGCUGCAAUGAAUAAGGCUAACUUCUCCUGUCUGCUCAGCCUCUCUAACAAAAUGAAAUUUGAUUUUGAAAUGCUUAGUCUUGCCAUGAAAGACUAGAUUUUUAGCUAUGGCAACUGCUGAUUGAUUGUCAAUCAUAAUCUCAGUAGCUCCACUUUUUUCUUCAUUCAAAUCAAACAAAAACUUUCUGAGCCAAAUGGCUUGAUUCACUGCUGCUGCUGCAAUGUAAUUUGCUUCAGCUGUGGAUUGAGCAAUUGUUUGUUGCUUCUUUGAGCUCAACAAAAGGCUCCUGAACCAAGGGUGAAGAAGUAACCCGAGGUGCUUUUCAUGUCUUCUAAGGAUUUAGCCCAAUCACUAUCUAAGUAUCCAAUUAGCCUAAGCUCAUUUUCCUUCUUAAACAUGACACCAAACUUCAAGGUUCCCUUAACAUACCUGAGUACCCUUUUUGAUGCCUUGAAAUGAGAUGUGUCACAACAAUGCAUGAAUCUUGAUAAUAGACUAACAGCAUGCAUGAGAUCAGGUCUGGUUGCUGUCAAGUAAAGUAGACAACCAAUUAGGCUUUUGUACUCCUCAUCAACCCUCUCUUGACUUUCAAAGCUGGUCAGCUUCUCUCUUUGGGCCAUUGGUGUGCUCACUGAUUUACAAUUAGACAUGCAAAACUUGUCUAGGAUCUUCAGGGCAAAAGCAUGUUGGCUAAUGAAAAUGCCAUAAUCAGACUGAUUCACUUCCAUCCCAGGGAAGUAUGUCAUAAUUCCCAAGUCUGUCAUAUCAAACACUUCCUCCAUUUGUGUCUUGAAGUCUUUGAUCAAAUCAGUCUUGCUUCCAGUUACCAACAGAUCAUCCACAUAAAUUGAAACAAUCAGCAAGGUUUCAUCUUCAGCUUUCUUCACAUAAAGUGUUGGUUCACUCAGACUUUUCUCAAAUCCAAGCCUAGACAGAUACUCAUCAAUUUUGUCAUACCAGGCUCUAGGUGCCUGCUUCAAGCCAUACAGAGCCUUUUUUAGCCUAUAGACUUUGUCUUCCUUCCUUAAAACUUUGAAUCCAUCUGGCUGCUCGAUGUAAAUCUCUUCAUUUAGAAAACCAUUUAAAAAAGCUAAUUUGGCAUCAAGUUGAUGAAGUUUCCACUGUUUCUAGGCAGCCAAGGCAAACAAUAGCUUGAUUGUGUCAAGCCUUGCUACUGGAGCAAAUGUCUCCAUGAAGUCAGUGCCAUACUCUUGACUAUAGCCCUUCACCACUAGCCUUGCCUUGUGCUUGUUCAAUGUGCCAUCAGCAUUGAAUUUGGCUCUAAAAACCUACUUGACACCUAUGACUUUCUUCUGGUCUGGCCUAUCAACCAAGUCCCAUGUCUCAUUCUUCUUGAUCAUGUCAAGCUCAGCUUUCAUUGCCUUUUUCUAGCAUCUAUCCCUUACAGCUUUUUCAUAGCUCGAAGGCUCAAAUAUUGCUACAUUGCAUCUAUGGUAGAUGUCAGCAAUGGUUCUGGUUCCUCUUACAGGAGAAUCAUUAACAUCAGCAUUUUCAGUUUCACUUUCAGCUGGCUCUAAGCUAAUGUCAAACUGGUCUUCAUCAAACUGACUUGCAUCUGAACCUUCCCAACUCCAGACCUUCUCCUCAUCAAAUUUGAUGUCCUUUCUCACCAGAAUCCUUUUUGUUGAGGGAUAAUACACUCUGUAGCCCUUUUUGGUACUGCUAUAGCCAACAAAUAUACUAGGAGCAGACCUUCUUUCAAGUUUGGUUCUUCUUUCAACUGGAAUGAGAACAUAACAUACACAUCCAAACACUUUCAGAUGUGAACCUGAUGGUUUAAGUCCAUACCAUGCCUCAAAAGGUGUUUUGUCCUUCACAGCUCGAGUAGGAGGCUUGUUGAGUAGAUAUACUGAGGUAUUGACAGCCUCAGCCCAAAAUGUACCUGGAAGUUUACUUUGAAACAGCAAACAUAUGGCCUUGUAUGGCUUAAAACAGGUACCAAGAGCUUGGUAUGAUAGGAUCGACAGCUACCUAGCUAGCUUGGGGUUUAAGAGAAGCAUCAAUGAGCCUACUUUGUAUGUGAAGAAAGAAGGUGUUGAAACACAGCUCAUAGUGUCCUUGUAUGUUGAUGAUCUACUGGUAACAGGAAGCAAUAAUGUCAUGUUGGCUGAUUUCAAAAAGAAAAUGGAAAAGAUGUUCGAGAUGUUAGAUUUGGACAAAUGUCCUACUUUCUUGGCAUGGAAGUGUCUGAACUUAAGCAAUGAAUCUUCUUAAGUCAGAAGGCUUUUGCCUUAAAGAUUCUGAACAAAUUCUCUAUGCUGAAUUUCAAAGCAACAACCACACCAAUUGCUGUUAGAGAAAAGCUAUCGAGUCAAUGAGAUUUUGAGAAGGUUUGUGAAUCAACCUACAGAAGUCUAGUUGGAUGCUUGCUCUAUUUGACAGCUACUAGACCAAAUAUCAUAUUUGUUGUGAGUCUGCUAUCUAGAUUCAUGCAUUACUGCAAUGAUAAGCAUUUUCAAGCUACCAAAAGAGUUAUCAGGUACAUCAAAGGUACACUAACCUUUGGAAUGAAGUUCACCAAGGUUUAUGGCAUAAAACUGCUUGGUUAUGCUAAUAGUGACUAGGCAUCCUCGUAAUAUAAUUGUGCAAUCAAUUUUUUUUUUAAUUUUUUUGUUGCAAUCAAAAACCAUUUUAUUUAUUUUUAAUAACUUAUAAAAUUGUUAAAUUGGUGGUAAUGUUGUGGUUAAUUACUAAAAUGUAAUGUUGUGGGUAACUUGCAUUGCAUCCUGCUUUAUUAAUUAUUUCAAAUUUUUUAGUAUGUUAAUAUUGUGGUUAAUUACUAAAUUGUAGACUGGUUUUGAAAUUAUCACUUAUCUUUCUAAAAUUUUGUUUCUGUAUUAUACAGGCCAUAAAAUUGAUGCGAAAAUGAAAGAGUUAGGAGAGGGCAUGGUUAAACACUGUGUAAUAACUCAAAUUUACCCAAGCCCAUAAUUAAGAAAAUAAAACCGAAAACAAAAAAAUAAUAAAUAAAUGAAUGUUUAUUUUUAAACAGUCCAUUUACAAUAGCCCGUAGAUCCAAAACCAGAACUACCCAGCAGACCCAUUUACACCCUACCCCUAAUACCGUAAACUAGCCCAGUAACCCAAGACUUAAUCGGCCCAAAUGGCCUAACCUAUUUUCAGCUUCUGAGGAACCCUAGCUAGGGUUCAUGCCGCAAAGUUUCCUCGAGAUUGUAGCCAACAUCAGCCUCGUUUUGCGCCACGAUCAACGCGUCUGUUCGUGUCCCGUCGUUCCAGUUACCCACCAUCAGAGUCGAGAUUGCAGGCUUCGAAUCAGGCCGUGGUCUACGGCCAAAUCAACGCCGGUGGUCUACAUUCCUCAUGAACACCUACAAAAAGAGAAAGAAAUAGUAGCAAACAAACAAAACAAAUAUGGAAAGGAAUAAAAGAUUUUUCCCCAAAAUAUGUAACAGAAACAGUGGCUAUAAAAGCCUCCUUUGUAACUUGUAAACGGACGGAGAUUUUUAACGAGGAAUACAAAAGCCAAAUACAUACAGUUUCUUAAAGGUGAUAUACCUUUACCUUUUCAUUUUUUCCCUAAAUACAUGCAAAUACCAUUAAAAUAAAUAAAAAACGAAUUUACCUUUGAAAUCGCUUCGAAAAAUCGAGACUUUGGGCUUCCGACCGCCGUGCGAGGCGGAGUCGACGACGGCGCGUGAGUUCGAUGACCGGGGAUCGGCUCGACGGAGGCCGGAGCCCGGAAGACUGCUCUCUACUCUCUUUCGGAGAGCUUUUCAAAGUUUUUUUUUAAAAAAACAAUAACUAAAUGAAUUUUAGGUUUAAGUUCUGAUAUAUAUAGCAGUACAAAACGGUGUCGUUUUGGCUUAGUUCAAUAAGCACUAAAACGGCACCGUUUCAAUAGGGGAUCCGCGUGCUGACCCGAUUACCCGGGGAGAAUUCGCGUGUUUUUGUAAAAUGGGUUAAUUACCCAAUUGGUCCUCUCGCAAUUUUAAUAUUUAUAAUUUCAUUUUAUUUAUUUUUUAAUUUAGCUCUAAUGUUUAAAUUUUGUUUCAAUUUGGUCUUCACAGUGCUUUAAAAUUUAAUUUGGGGAAACAGUGUCGUUUUGGGAUUAGGGCAAUUUGCCCAAUGAGUCCCUCGGUUUUAACACGCAUUCCAGAAGGCCCAAAUUUUUUUAUUAUCUAAAUUAGCCCUAAAACUUUAAUUUUAUUUCAUUAUAGUCCUUUAAAUAUUUUUUAUAAUCUAUUAAAUACUUUUAUCUAUAAAUAUUAAUUAUAAAAAAUAGUAUAUACUAUUUUUAUAUAUUGUUUAUUAUAUUAUUUUUUACUUAUAAAUUAUAUUUAUUUAUAUAUUUUAUAUAUAUUAUUUUUAAAAAAAUUAUGUAUUAUUAUUUAUUAAUUGUGUAAAUUUUAGUUUUUAUUAAAUAAUAGUAUAUAUAUUAUCCUUCAUUAUAUUUACAUUUUAUUACAUAUUACAUUUUAUUAUAUAUAUAUUUUUAUAUUACUUAUUAUAUGGUUUAUAUUAUUAUAUAUUUUGGUUAUAAAUUAUAUUAUACACUAAAUAUUUACUAUAUAUAUAUUAUCAUUUACAUUACUUUUAUUUCAUUAUAAAAUAUAUACUAUUUUAUCACUCAUUAGUUAUAUAUUUUUUUUACUAAAUAAGUAUGUGUAAUAUUAAUAUUUAGUACAUUAUUAAGGUAUUAUACCCUAUAAUAUGGUUUAUAUAUAUUAAUCAUUUUUUUGGGUUUUCGUUUAUUAUUUUCAUAUUAAUCUAAAAUUUAUGAAUAUCUUUAUAUGAUUUAUAUUUCAUAUGUUUAUACUUUGCUUAUUUUUUCAUAUUUCGUUAUUGUUUAGUAAAUUAUUUGUUAUUGUUUUUACAUAUUUGCAUGGAAGUUAAUUAUUUAUAUUAAUUUAAGGUACAUUUGCAUGAAAUGUUGUUAUAUAUAGGUGUUAUGUAAUUUAUAUUAUUAAAUUCAUUAUACUCUAUGUUGUAUUUUUGCAUGUAACAAUAAUGCAUGAACAUUUUUUAUGAUGACAUAUGCAUAAAGUGAUAAUAUAUAUUGUAUAAUUUACACCAUUAUUUAUUACUCUUUAUACUAUAUUUGCAUAAAAUUAUAAAGCAUGUACUAUAUAGUUAGGUUUAUUAAAUGUUAAUUUCUUGUAAAAAUGUAAAAUACAUCAUUAUUUUCAAAGCAAAAAUAUCUCAUUUCAAAAGGAAUUUUCUAAAAAAGUGAGGCAAUGUUUUGAUAUUUAGGAACUCGGGAAGUAGUGCCCUAACAUGCUGGGUUGCGAUUUCUCGUUUGUCUAAAUAUCUAAGAUAUCCUUUUAAAACGAGUUUUACAAAUCAAAAGAUGAUUUCAGUUACGAAAGUUUAAAAUAUCAUGUCCAAUCAUGCUGGAUGUGAUGUUUGUACUCUUUUAAAAACAAAGGAAUCUUGAUUCUUUUCUCAAAACAUUACGGCUUUAAGGGAAUUUCAUUUUGAAAUUCUUUCAAACUUCUGACACUAAGAUAAAAUUAUUCAAUUUGGUACCAAUUUUGGGCGUUACGAGGGUGCUAAUCCUUCCUCGUACAUAACUGACUCCCGAACCUAUUUUCUCAUAAUUUCGUAGACCAAAACGUUUUAUAAAGUGAUCCAAUCACACUUUAAAAGAUUGGUGGCGACUCCCAUUUUCGUUUUUCAAAAUCUGUUUUUAAGGAGGUUUCGACACACUGUGCUGGGCUUCCAUUAGCCAUCAUUAUAUUGGGAGGAAUUUUGGCUACAAAGUAUCCUUCAUUAACUGAAUGGCUGAAGGUAUCUAUAAAUGUGAAAUCAUACUUCAAGAUCGAUAAAGGUCAAGUACUAAAAGAUGUGUUAGCAUUAAGUUAUGAUGAUUUGCCUCCCUAUUUAAGACCAUGUUUCCUUUAUUUAAGCCAAUUUCCCGAGGAUUAUGAGAUACCUGUGGAUAUAUUGAUUCAGUUAUGGAUUGCCGAAGGUAUUGUUUCAUCAAAGCAAGAAGAAGGAGAUGAAAGGCUAAUGGCGGAAGAUGUGGCUAAAGGUUAUUUAAUGGAUCUUGCAGAAAGAUGUAUGAUUCAAGUACGAGAAAGAGACAUUCCAACCUUAAAGAUGAGAAGUUUUCAGAUGCAUGAUCUAAUGAGAGAUGUUUGCUUGUCAAAAGCUAAACAAGAAAAAUUCUUCGAUAUUGCUGAUCAGUCAAAUGCCUGCCAGUUAUCCACAAUUGGGAGGGUUCGUAGAGUUUCUGUCCACAAAUUUAUUUCCUUACAGUGCAUUAAAAGUCCACGUCUUCGAAUACUUUUGCUCUUUGAUGAGUUUUUACCCAAAGAGGAACACGAAAAGCUUUUGCCAUUGACAAUGCGAAGCUACUACGACAACCACGAAGAUGAACUUUUCAAUCCACUGGUUUGGUUUGUGAUGCUUUUAGGAGUUAGCAUGCUAAGUAUUAAAUACAUGGGACUUUGGAAAAAUAUGUUCAAUAAUUUUAAUUUUCUUAGAGUCUUAGACUACGAAAAAGGACGAGGUGCAGGAUACAAGUUACCCAAAGACAUUGGUAAACUCGUCCAUUUAAGAUUAUUGAGUCUAAGGGAUCUUGAGUUCCUACGGUCAAAGUUGCCUUGCCAUCAUCUCUAGGCAACUUAAGGUGCUUGCAAACAUUGGAUUUAAGAAUGGAAAACCGGUUGUAUUCGGGAUUGUUUCAUGUACCUAACGUGUUAUGGAGGCUGCAUCAACUAAGACAUCUAUAUCUCCCCAAGCAAUGUAGUCGUAAAACAAAGUUGAAUUUGGGUACAUUGAGAAACCUCCAAACGCUCGUCAACUUCAACACCAAGAAUUGUUAUGUAAAGGAUCUUAUCAACUUGACAAAUAUUAGAGAGUUGGAGAUUCGAGGGCCCUUCAAUAUUGAAGAUUUUAACACGGAGGAGUUGGAGAAGAAUCCACCUAUCAUCCAAAGCAAAUAUCUUCAUUCCCUGUCUAUUAUCAAUGAUGAAGGAAGAAUGGAUCCAAGACAUUUGGUGCACCUCCUUUUGAGUUGCGAAAACAUUUCUAAGUUGAACUUAGAUGUGUAGAUAAGAAGGUUACCAGAGUACCACUACUUGUCUUCAAAUCUCGCUUACAUAAAGUUGAUAAGGUGCAAGCUUGAGAAAGAUCCAAUGGCAACACUUGAGAAGCUGCCUAACUUAAGGAUUCUUGAAUUCCAUCCCAGAGCUUUCAUAGGAAACGAAAUGUUGUGCUCUACACAAGGUUUUCCCAAACUUGAGUCUCUAAGCCUUGUGUGUCUUCCCAAUUUGGAGGAGUGGAAGGCGGAUGAAAGGGCGCUGCCUUGUCUUCGGCGAAUGGAGAUAGAAAACUGCAGACAACUAAAAAAGCUUCCAGAUGGACUGAGGUUCAUUGCAACCCUCCAAGAACUAAAGAUUGAAUCAAUGCCAAAGACAUUCAAAGAUAGAGUGGAGGAAGGAGGAGAAGAUUUCUGCAAAGUCCAACACGUUCCUUCUAUCAUAUUCCAAGACUGCAAGUGAUAGUAAUUAUCAUUAAUGCCAGGUAAUUCAUUAUUUUUUUUAAGGAAAUACUUAACCCUUUUGUUUGUAUAUAAAAAUCCACAACUAUUUUUUAUGUUUACAUUCUUUCUCAAGCAGCUAAUAAUUUAGAGAAGAUUUAAGCUUCGGUUCUUAUCCUCUGUUUUUAACAAUGUUUCAUAUUUCCAGAGGAUUUGCCAUUUAAACUAAAAGUGAGAAUAUGUUGUCAAUAGGGUGUUAAGCAUUUUGGUGAUGGUCAGCAGAUGCAAUUUGAAAUACUGACAUUGUCUCAUAUUUGAAGGUGUCCUCCAACAUGAUUCACAGCUGUUACAUUUUAAUUAGCAUAAAGAUUCUUCUAUCAUAUGAUGUAUAUGUCACGGAAUUUCAACUACUUUCAUAUGAUAUUACCAUUUUUAAUUCCUCUUCAAGUACAGAAGCCAUUGCCAUUUUUUUGUUUUUGUUUUUGCUGCUGCUCUUCAUGGGACCAUAUAUCUAUACAUAUUUAAAAAUUGUUCUUUUUACAUGAAACAGUAAUAUUAUGUUCGUGUCUAUUCUUAGAAGAAAAAUGUGAAUCCAUCUCAUCGUAUUAUUUCAGAAAUUCUAAUAAAAAGAGACUUGUCACUUUUAUAAAAAUAUAGCCUUUAUUUUAAAUACCAACGGUUUGAAAUUAUUUUCCAAUUUAUAAAAAUGAGCAACAUUAAUUAUCAAGCAAUUCCAACCAAAGCAGUUCAUCCUGCAUACCAAAGCCAGAGUUACUACUUUAUCUUAUGUAAGUGUUAUUCCACAAUAUCAGUCAUUUGCAAUCAAUCUUAAAAACAUGGCUUGGUUAUGCAAUUGUUAGACAGCAUCCUGGUAAAAAAAAAAACAUUGUUACAUUAGCAAUCAAUCAUUAUUGAAGAGAAAACAAAAGUGAAAAUCAUGUGAUUAGCAAUCAAACAUUGUUACAUCAGCAUGUUUUAGGAUAUCAAAAAUGCAUCAAACAGAUAAGCCAAUUAUGUACUCAUACAUCAUUUUGUUCAUGUUUAAGCAUGUAUAUGUUUGUUGGUAGAACAUGAAGCAUACAGGUUUAAGGAACUAGAAGAGCUUGGGAUAGUUUUCAGCGAGGAUGAGAAAGAAGUUUGAAAACAGAGAAUAUAAGAAGACUCUUCAAUACUGAAGAAAAGUAAAGAAGUAAAAAGCACCUGAAGCUGUAGUGCCUAAGAACGACAGCUGUGGAAAUAAUUUGGCACAGUCAAAAUGCUUAUAGUCAAUUCGAACCAGUUAUGACAUUAAUGAAUCUGAAAAGAAAACACCAUUACUAAUACAUAAAAUGAUCACAUAUUAGAAAAUAGAAGAAUGCAUCGGAUCCACUAAUAACAAGUGCCACAUGGUUAUCAUUUAAACCUCUAUAAGAAAAUGGUUAGAAAAAGACAGUUUUACUUACCUGCCGAAAUAUUUGAAGAACAUCCGAGGUAGAAAAGAACGGGAAAUAGUAAAUAUGCGUCGUGAUUCCAUGAUCCUUCUUGUGUAGGCUAGCCAAUUAAAUCAAAUUGUUUUAGACAAAUACAAUUUUGCAUGGAAAGUGAUUUAAAGAAAGAAAAUGCAUCUUAGAGAAUAGUUUAUUUUACACCGCUAAUUAGAAUGAGAGAUAUGAACAAUUACCUUAACAGAAAUGAUAGCAUGAUCAAGAAGGGGAAGAAGAUUACGGUGACUAAACGGAUCUCCUCCCGAACCAAUUCUAACUGUUCAUUAUUCUGAAUGAGAACUUUCUUCAUUGCAUAAGUUCCAUCAUCUGCAAAUGCAACCCAAGUAAGUUCAUUCCAAAACCAAAUUAAUUUUCCCUUUGAUCUGAUGAAUACACAAAUACCAAAAUAACACGAUAAAAUCUGGCAGAUGGCAUAGCAGAUGUCACCAUCCUAGAUAAAAUCCCCUAGCAAAAAAAAAAGGUUAGCAAAUCCAUUUAAGAUGUAAAUUCAGAUAAUAAGACGGAAAAUGCAAAGCUCAUCUAUUGUAAAUUAAAAUUAGGCAGUAACUAAUUGAAAAUUCGAUGAACAAAAAAAGAGGGGAAAUCAUAGGACCGCCAUUUUCCAAGUGUAAAUAAAUUGGGCAGGGAGCGCAUAAAGCACUCAUUUCGGAUUAUAGUUUACUACUACAACAUGAUUUUGAGGUUUGUGAAACUGAUCAAAUCCAAUAUAUAUGAAACGGAAACAACAAAGGAGGAGAUGAGAUCGAGCCAGAUCUGGCAAUACCUUCAAGGAUUGUGAGAAGAGCAAUCGCAAAGGCAAGGUGGGCAAGUGUUGGAAGUGUGGUUGAAGGCUACUAAUCCUUCCAUGAAAUGCCAAUACAGAGGUGGACCCACCUUCAACGCCACCUUCUGGUUCACUGCCAUCUCUUCUAUCUCAGAGUCUAACUGGAAACUAAAUCAAGACUGCUGCUGGAGAGUUUCUUGAUUGAAAAGAGCAACGGAGAGGCCAUUUAGGGGGAAAAAUUAGGGGUUUCAGAGGGGGAAAAUUUGGGGGUAAAAAAGCGCUCUUUUGUUUUAAGUGAAAUGAUUUUUUUGCGUUAUUGUUAAUUUUUUGUGGCAUUUUUCAUAAAAAUGCCACCACAAAUUAUUUCAUUUUAAAUAAAACGACACCGUUUUGCUCUGUUAAAAGUUUUUUUAUUUUAUCUGUUAAAAAUUAUUAGUUAAAUAAUUUUAUAAAAUAUUUAUUAUUACUAUUUUUUAUAAAUUAGUUUUUAUAAAUAAAAAAGUCAAGUACUCUAAAAAUAAAUAUCGUGUAUUUUAAUAAGAAAAUAAAUAAUUAAAUGGUUGUAAUUAAUUAUUAAGUUAAAAUUAUCCAAUGUAAGCAAUCAAUCUCUCACAUAUCAAAUUUCUAUUAAAGAUUGAGACGUUAAUCAUGAUUUUAUAUUAUUCUUUUCCGAUCUAAUCUCCAUUUCAUUAGAGAUAUUUCUUCCUAACUUAAAUAUAACUAUUUUGCUAGAAUUUGAUGUGGAAUGAUUUUAGUUUUUGUAUUUCAUUUUUAUUUGUUAUAAUCUGGUCCUAUCCAAAAUAAAUAGUUACCUAUCCAUAUCAAUCUGUUACUUUUUUUAUUUAUUUAUCAAUUUUUUUAAAUAUAAUAUUUAAAUAUAUCAAAUGGUUUAGAUUAAAUAUUUUUAAAUAUAAAAGUAUUAAUUGAUUGUAAAAAAAUUUAUCAUUUAACAAAUCUUAAGUAAACCUUAAAUCCUAAACCAUUUAAUAUAUAUAAAGUUUAUCUAUUAUCUCUUAAAUAAUUUAAACUAUAAUCAUAAUUUUAAUAUAUUAAAAUUAAUAUUAUCUUUUUUACAAUUAUAUAAUAAAUUAUUUAAUAUAUAAAUUAAAAAAAUACUAAUUAAUCUAAACCCUAAAUCCCUAACCUCUGACCCCUAAACCUUAAAUCAUAAAACAUAAACCCUAAACCCCUAAACCUUAAACCUUAAACCCCAACCCCUCUAAAACUUAAACCCUAACCCUUAACCCAUAAACCAUAAUCCAUAAAACCAUAAUCUAUAAACCUUAAAAUAGUAACUCAUAAACAUUAAACUCUUAACCAUAUACCAUAAACCCUAAACUAUAAUGAUAAUUAAUUCAAUAUUUUAAAAUUAAUACUAUCUCUUUUACAAUUAUAUAAGAAAAUAUUUAACAUAUAAAUUAAAAAAUAAUUAGUCAUAUAAAAUGAUGUUAUAUCAAUAAUUGUGUUCAUAAUUUAUGCUUUUGGGAUUUAACCCAUUGCACACUAAACCAUUGUUCAUGUAUACUUUUGGGAUUUUACCCAUUUUGAUAUAUAUAUAUAUUUCUAAAAUAAUAAUUUAUAUUUAUCUUAUUUAGAUUUACAUUAUAAAAAAAUCUAAGAUACACAAGUUAAGUAGUUUACCAUAUUUACCUCUAAACCCCAAACCCCAAACUCUAGGCCCUAAACACUAACCCAUAACCCAUAAACUAAAUUAAUUUUUUUGCAGCGUUUUUCCAAAAGCGCCGCUAAAACCUCGAUCUAUAACGGCGUUUUUCCAAAAGCGCCUCUAAAAACUGAGCAAUAGCGGCGUUUUUCCAAAAGCGCCGCUAAAACCUCGAUCUAUAGUGGCGUUUUUGCAAAAGCGCCGCUAAAAACUGAACAAUAGCGGCAUUUUUUCAAAAGCGCCGCUAAAAUCUCGAUCUAUAGUGGCGUUUUUCCAAAAGCACCGCUAAAAAUUGAGCAAUAGCGGCGUUUUUUAAAAAGCGCCGCUAAAAGCUCGAUCUAUAGCGGCGUUUUUUCAAAAGCGCCGCUAUUGUUUAGUUUUUAGCGGCGUUUUAACUAAAAACGCCACUAUUGCUCUAUUUAAACGCCACUAUUGCUCAGCUUUUUGCAGCGUUUUAAUGCAAAUGCCACUAUUGUAUAAUAUUUGCGGCGUUUUUUCUCCAAACGCCACUAAAAACGCCGCUAAAGCCCAAUUUUCCUGUAGUGAAUUUACGAUAGUGAGAUUGAAAGUAUUGCUCGCAGAAAUCAUAAAGAAGCAAGUCAGAGUCGACAAAAUCUAGUAGACGAACAAGAGGAUAUUACAAUUACCGAGGAGAUGGGUGAUAAUCAAAAUAUUCAACGACCUCUUACAACUGCAACUCUUGUUCCUCAUACUAUGUAUGAUUAUGCCAAGCCCACUUUGUCUGGGGCUGAAUUGAGUAUUGUGAGACCAACCAUUACUGCAAAUAAUUUCAAACUGAAGCCAAAUACAAUUCAUAUGGUACAACAGUUUGUUCAGUUCGAUGGUUUGUAUGACGAAGAUCCAAAUACUCAUUUGGCAAUUUUUUUAAAAUUUUAUGAUACUUUCAAAAUUAAUGGCGCCACUAAUGACGCCAUUCGCUUACAGUUAUUCCCUUUCUUGUUGAUUAACAAGGAAAAGUAAUGGUUUAACUCUUUACCAUGAGGUUCCAUCACAUGGGCGCAAAUGACCGAGAAAUUCCUUCUGAAGUACUUUCCACCGGCUAAGACAGAUAUCUUUUCCUUUGUUCAGGUCGACCUAGAGACUCCAUAUGAUGCACGAGAGAGGUAGAAAGACUUAUUGAGAAGGUGCCCUCACUAUAGGUUACCUUUAUGGCUACAAGUUCAAACCUUCUACAACGGUUUGAAUCCCUCAACUAGGCAAUUAAUCAAUACGGCAGCUAGUGGAACCUUAAACAAUAAAACACCCGAAGUAACUUAUGAAUUUAUUGAAGAGAUGGCACUAAAUAAUUAUCAAUGGCAAGUCAUGAAGACAAAGCCGAUGAAAGCAGUCAGUGUCUUUAAUUUAGAUGCUGUCACCAUGUUAUCGAAUCAGGUAGAACAAUUAAAUAAGAAAAUUGAUGGUUUAUAUCUUUCUAUGCAAGUACAUCCGAUGAAGCAAUGCGACAUAAAUGAUGGUGGAAUUAAUAACCCAGAAUGUUUACCUUUUGGUCCUAGCACAGAAAAUGAGCAAGUUAAUUAUAUGGGUAAUAAUUUUAGGCCUCAAAGUAACCCUUAUAGUAGUAACUAUAAUGUAGGUUGGAGGAAUCAUCUCAAUUUCUCUUGGGGUGGUCAAGAGAAUCAGAUAGCACAACCCUCUUUGGGCUUCCAACAACUAUCUUAUCAGCAAAAGAAGAAGUCAAACCUUGAGGAGAUGUUGACAAAUUUUUUCUUAAUGUCAAAAACUAGUUUCCAAAACACUGAGGCAGCACUAAAAAAUCGACAAGCAUCAAUUCAAAGGCUCGAGAAUCAAAUAGGUCAGCUUGCUAAGUUAAUUUCGGAAAGACCAUAAGGUAGAUUGCCUAGCAAUACUGAAACUAACCCAAUAGAGUAGCUUCAUGCAAUUAUUAUUCGAGAUAAAGAAGGGUUAGUUGAAUCUGAACAAAAAUCGAGGCAAGAGAUUGUGAUGAAUAACGAUAAAGUUUAGGUAAGCUAAAAAGAGCAAAAGUCAGUUGUCAAAGAAUAUAAACCUCGAGUGCCAUAUCCUAACGUGACGAAGAGAGACCACACGAGCGAAUAAUUUGGUAAAUUUGUUCCAGCUCUCCAGGAACAGUUUGGGUCUUCUAGAUUUUUAGAUCCCAUGACUAAACUUGUUGCCCUGAAACAAAUGAGCACGGUUGUGCAAUACCAUGAUCAAUUUGUAACUCUCUUGAACCAACUGCACUUUCCUGAGAGUUAUGCAUUGAGUAUAUUUGUUCAUAACCUUAAGUCUGAGAUUGACCAAUAUUUACGAUUGUUUAAACCAACAACCCUGGAAGAAGGAUUAAUCAUUGCUUUACAAAUGGAGGAUAUUGUCAGCACUGUCUCUCCAAACAUGUUUCUGUAAUGGGGAACUCUAGUUGGUCUAAACCCUUAUUUCCUUAAACUAAAACUUACAACAAUGCUGGGAAUGCCCUUGUGACUAAAGGCCAACUUCUUAAUUUGCCUAGUACCAAAGGCCCUAUUGAGGCCCUCUAUCAGUCUUAAAUGGAUGACAAUAUAAAAAAAUAACUCUAUUUUUGGUGUGCCUUGAAAUAUGCUCCAGGACACAAAUGUGUUAAAUCCUAAUUAUAUCAAUUGGUGAUUAAGGAGGCUUCUAGUGUACCAACCAAUGAGUUAAUUAGUCUUUCAUCGGAGGAUUUCCAAGACUACCCUAAGAAAUUAGAAACCACAGAAGGGGAAGUUGACUCAGUAGCAGUAGUAUUAUCACUACAUACUCUCAAUGGGUCUCAAGGUCAUAACAUCAUGAGGUUAGUAGCUUGAAUUGGACACUUGGAGGUCAUCAUUCUUGUUGAUUCUGGUAGCACUCACAAUUUUAUUGAUUCUCGAAUGGUGAGAAGGUUGCAACUACCAAUGGAUUCUUCUUGUAAACUCAAAGCCAUAGUAGCAAAUGGUGUACAUUUAGCAACUCAAGGGGUCUAUUGAUCUGUGAGCUGGGAGGCACAAGGGUAUACAUUUUCCACCAACUUCUUGGUUUUACCUAUCAAAGGGUGUGAUUUAGUCUUUGGGAUUCAAUGGCUUUUGCCUUUGGGGUCUAUUGUGUGGAAAAUUUUCCUUUCUAACCAUGGAAAUUGAACAUUUGAAACAAACAUGUGUUCUCCAAGGAAUUCUUCUUGGCAGCCUUCAGCUAUUAUCUAGAACACAAUUAUCCAAGUGUUUCAAUUGGUAAGGACAGGGUCCUAGUCCCAUGUUACUUCCUACCACUGUUCAAGUUGUUUUAUCAUUGUCAUUUCAGUCAUUGCAUCAGGACAUUGAGCUGAUCCUCACUGAGUUCGAUGAUGUUUUUCAAUUCCCUACUGGACUUCCACUUGUCCGAAACUAGGACCACAAAAUUCCUUUGAAUGAUGAGUCUCAAGUGGUCAAGAUCAAGCCUUAUCAAUACCCUACAGUCCAGAAGAAUGAGAUCGAAAAACUACUAUCGAAAAUGUUGCAAGCUGGGAUUGUAAAGGACAUCUACAGUCCAUUUGCUCCACCAAUUGUUCCGGUAAAGAGUAAGGAUGGAAGCUGUCAUUUAUGUGUGGAUUAUAGGCAGCUCAACUAGCUGACUAUAAAGGACAAAUUUCUAAUACCAAUAAUUGAGGAGCUACUUGAUGAAUUGGGACAAGCUGCUUAUUUCUCAAAAUUGGAUUUACAUUUUGGUUAUCACCAAAUCUGCAUGUGGGAGGGUGACAUUCAUAAGAUUACAUUUCGCACUCACGAUGGUCACUAUGAAUUUUUGGCCAUGUCAUUUGGCUUGACCAACACACCCUCUAGUUUUCAGUCCUUAAUGAACAAAAUUUUCAAGCCUUUACUGAUAAAGAUAGUGUUAUUUUUUUAUGAUAUUUUGGUCUGCUUGACCAAUUGUACUAAGCAUUUGGGGCAUCAGUUGUAUGCUAAGAAAGGAAAAUUUUCAUUUGGCACAACUUAGGUGGAAUAUUUGAGACAUAUCAUUUCUGCAUGGGUAGUUUUUAUAGACACUACAAAAAUCGAAUGAGUUAUUCAUUGGCCUUCCCCAACUUCAGUCAAGGACUUAAGGGGCUUCUUGGGCCUAUCUAGCUAUUACAGACGAUUUAUAAGGUACUAUGGGGUAAUAGACAAACCAUUAACAACUUUAUUAAAGAAGGAGAUCCAUUGGUAGUGGUUUGACAGUGCUCAGACAACUUUUGGUCAGCUCAAGGCAGCAGCCACUCAAGCACUAGUUUUGGUCCUACUAGAUUUUAAGGAGGAAUUCUGUGUUGAAACAGAUGCUUGUGGUUAGGGGAUAUGGUUGUAUUACAAUAGAAGGGUCAUCCCAUUGCCUAUUUCAAUAAGAGGUUAGGCAUCAGGCAUCAAGCCUUGUCCAUUUAUGACAAGGAAAUGUUAGCAAUUUUGCUAGCUUGAAAGAAAUGACAUCCCUAUUUGAUAGGAAGGCAUUUUCACAUUAAAACUGACCCCCAGAGUUUGCGAUUCCUCUCGGACAGGCAGGCCAUUACUUCUUAUCAGUAGAAAUAAGUGGUCAAAAUGUUUGGCUAUGACUACACCAUCACUUACAGACAAGGAGGACAAAACAUUGUAGCUGAUGCACUUUCACGACGAGAUCAUUCACUUGAGGGUCAGAUGUUCCAGUGUAUUAUAAGUAUUUCAUGGUUUGAAAUUUGGGGCCAAAUCCUGGAUGCUUGUUUCACUGACACUUGGUUGCAACAGAUCUGUUUGGACUUGCAACAUUCUCCUCACAUUCAUCCUAAAUAUUCAUGGGAUGGGAAAAUAUUAUGAAGGAAAUGCAAAGCAGUGGUUAGGGAAAACCUGGAACUGAGGAAGAAGAUAUUUGAUACGUUCCAUAGUGAAGCCAGUUAUAGUGGAAAAGGACGCCUACAACCACCAGCUCUAAGAUUUUAGACUUAAGAUUUGGCAAAACCUGACUCUAGCCAAUAACCGCUUUUGUGGGACUAUCUUCUGCUAGAUCAUCACUUCCCAAUGGCUAAUACCACGCCAUUUUGUCCCUUGGACUCGCCAACUUCUGACGCAGAAAGCCAAUGAAUCGACUGUGCAACCUUUUCAAAAUGUACAAAGCGGCCAUUCCUUGCACAAGUUGAAAAGAUCACUUAUUAAGGGACUUGGACGGAAGCGUCAGCCCUGUAAUGCGGAGAAGUGAUGAAUACUCGUUGAGAAGGUUAAACGCGAAUUCUAAGCCGCACAAACCCUUUUUGGGGAAUUUCGAUAACCUUCGGCUAGAUAAAAUUUAGUGGAUCAUGCUGUUUGGGGAAAAUAAAUAAAAAUAAUGAAGAUGAAAAAUUUAUUGAAAGAUAGGGAAAUAACAAAACCUUUUUAGGAGAGAGAGUGUUUACAGAAAAGAUGAGUCCAAUUUGUGUCACUCAAUCCCCUAUUUAUAGUACUAAUAAACCUAGUCUAUUCCUAAUUAAAUUCUAAAAGAUAAAUACAAAUAAAUAAAGAUAAAUAAAGAUAAAUUCUAAAAUUAUAUAUAAAUAAUAAUCCUUAAUAAUUACCCUAAUAUAAUUGGAAUUAAAAUAGAGUCUUGUGCUAUAAAAUCUCUUCUUUUGCAUUUUUGCCUCAAAAGUCGUCCAUACUUUUCAUUUUCGGCACCAUUUCUCUCCUACUUCGCAUGCUGGCCCAAUUCAUCUUUAAAUUCACGCUUUUGCCCCCAAAUUUCCUUUUGCCUUUAAUUUAGUCCCUUCAAGAUAAAGAAUCAUAAAUAGCCCAAAUUAGUAGGAUCAUACUCCAAAUAAAUAUAUAAUUAAGUCAUAAAAAUAUGUCAUUCUAGAGUAUUAUCAAAUUCCCCUUACUUGGCCCAUGCUUGCCUUCAAGUAUGGUUAGAUUUUACCAUAAAAGAAGUACCACUCCAAAGUUUUAUAAAAAUUAGUCAAAAUGUAUAUGAAAAAUAAAGAGAACCCUUAGCUUGCUUGAAGUAAAAUUGAAAAAUUAUUUCAAUUAACACACACAAAAAUUUAUAUCGACUUGGAUUAUUUCAUGAAAAUUAGGUAAUUUACCAAACUUACCAAGACACCCUAUUUGUUUCUACCUUUAGUCCCCACAUUUUAUUAAUACAUCUUUUUUUU
rnacentral:lncRNA from 1 species